UUUUCUUCCUUGCCGCGUACGGUUCCGACGCGUACAGCCACAAGGCACAUCGGCCGCUUUGCGUUAAGAGCGCAUAUCGCGAAGCGUCUAAACCAAUAGACAAGCCUGUAUGUUCAUGGUCACUACAUUUCUAGCACAGCAAAUGCCCCGUCCUGGCACCUGACAAAAUCCUACGUGAAGCACAAACUUACAUGAUGGACCAAACACGCAUACACCUGCCACUUUUUUUUUCAUCAAAGCUAACAAUUAUAUUACACUUUUAGACAUUACUACAAUUUCUCUGUAGUCAGUAGAUCCAAAGCUUUACUGAAUCAUUAGCUACAGCAAAAUGAAAUAAAGAAUUUCACAAAGGAAGUGCUUUGAAAAAUACCAACUGCAUCAAGUCAACUAGAGAUCACAACAGUAACAAGUCUGACUGAACCUUUUAGUACACUAGUAGGUUGACAAUAUGCACUAAGAUUUCGGAUAAUAAUGAUAACUGAUUGUUAUGGAUAAGAGGGCCUAUCACAGUAUAAUUUAGCCCCAUGAAACUAAGACAUGCCCAGAACAACAGCCAGUGCUAGGCAAACACGGACAAGGGUAAUAACAUUCUUUGAAAAUGAAAUGAUGCUUAAUCUGUAGGUUUACCAGGCAUUACUCUGAAGUCUGAACUGGAAAUCAAGCAAGCAGGAGUAUAAGCGCCAGCAAAUUGGAGGGGCAUGAUUGAAGCAGAUUCAGAGGCACACAGACAAAUUGUUCAGACAAAAGAAGAGCCAGUUUUUGGGAGGAAACAUAGGGGUGGUUUGAAGGUAAAGUUACUACCCCUCAGCAUCAGCUAAUGGCUCUGAGAACAGAGGAACAUAGGGUAGAAAUUUGUGUACACUGUUUUUCUCAAGAUUAAUGAUACAGCCAACUUUCUGAUGCGACAUGUCAUAUGAUACCAAGGUAUCACCUCCACACUGAGCCAGGAAAAUGGUGUCGCAAUCUGGAUGAAUCUCAACCACCCUGUACUUCUCCCAAGUCAUGCUCAUAAGUGUAUCUAUGCUGGCAGUAUGCUUUAGGACCCAUUGUUUACUGUCACAAUCCUUGAGGCACCAGAGUGCUAUCUCGGAAACUAGGAUUUCAUUGCUAUUAUUGGGAGGAGCUAUAGCAUAGUGUAAGCACCCCUGCGACAAUCCAAUAGUACCAAAUUUUGAACCAUACGGCACACGGAUAGUCUUCCACACUUUCCCCUCCAUGUCCACCCCCACCAGCACAUACUCGUCAUUGAUGUCCUCCAGGUUACCCAUGAUGUACAUCAUACCGCCAACAAAGACACAUUUACUCCUGAACAGGGUAGCUUUCUCAACUAUCCCGCUGUCUCUAUGAAUCCAGGCUCCUGUGCGAGACGAGUAGAUGUUCACUCAUGUGAUCAAAGUUUUCGGAAAGGUCCGCUCGAAACAAAGAACAUGGAAAUGGGACGAGACUGCUGGAUCGAAAGCCAGGCCUGCGGUAUGGUUAAGUCUGUUCAUUGUCUCCUGCGUUUGAGGUUGAGGUGGCAGCUCCACCCACCUCCCGGUGGCCGGAUUGCACACAACAAAAUGGUAAUCAUGACUGCUACUGUUGUAACGGCGGUAGAGAAGGAGGCCAUUGCAAGCGUCCACCAGGGUGAUGCCCUCAUCCUUGUUAGGAUGUAUGUAAGGGAGGGAAGGGUUGAAGGAGGCUGCGCCGCCGGAGAAACCGGCGAAGUGGUGGCGAUACCUGCUGUUGUAGAAGGACGUGUAGAGGAAGCCGGCAAGGGUCUGGGGCAGCUUCUUGUGGUUGGCGGGGUCGGCGAUGAGGUCGCGCCAGAGCACUGAUACGCACUUGAAGCGAUGGACGGAUCUGGCUAGGAGGCGGGAGAGGAUCUCCAGGAUGAGGUCGACGUUGAACAGACUGGCUGCCCCCGCCGCCGUCACCUGCGGAUGGUCGUCCAGCCUCGGCUUGGUGUUCCUCUCGCAGAUCUCCCCCUUCUCCGCCCCGUCCAUGGAACUCGGCCUGGUGUUCCCCUUGAAGAUCUCCCCCUUCUGCGCCUCCUCCAUGGAGGAGGAAGGGCUAGGCAGGGACACGGUCAGGUCAGAUCUGCAAAUGGAGAGAGGAAAUCAUGGAUCUGCCGGAGAAAAAUUAACCCGGUGGUGCCGGUGGUCCUAUGAGGAGUCAGAAAGGUACCUUGGUUUGGUUUACGAUAGCGACGGGUGCCGGCAGCAGGAUGCGGUCGGCGGCAUUUCGCUUCUCAGAGGACAGUGGGGAAGAACAACAUGGAAGCUAAACUUAGAAAGAGGAAAUGGGGAUGCUUGGAUUGGAUAGUCAUAGAUACAAACAUAACAAUGACAUGUAUGUAAAGAAUUGACAACUUUGAGAAUUUACCCUUUUCCAAACAUGACUAGAAGGAAACGUGCGCCUUGUUGUGCGGUUUUUAAUGCCACCGCAAACUAAGAGAAAAAAGCAAAUAAUUUCAAUGCCAACACAAACUAAGAGAAAAAACCUAGUCCAUCGCCACCUUCUCACUUGCCUCCCCCAACUAUAGUUCCUGCAUUUGGGCCUCCCUACCAAUGUCUUAUUUUCCAAAAAAUGCCUUCAGUUCUCAUGUAAGUCCUAUUUGUUAGAAGGGAGAGAGAUGAUUGGUGGAAUAGUUUGUUGUAUUUCUUGAGCCUCGUGGGCAUAUAUAUAGGAGUACAAUCAUCUACUUGGAGUACAAGACAAGCCAGAACAAAUCCUAGUCUAUCUCGUCUUUUCUAAUAAACAUUAUACUCAACAUCCCCCCGCAGUCAUAACGGUAGCGAUGCAGACGGUGAGACUGGAGAAGAAUCCGAAGGCAAGCCGACGGACACCCCCCCCCCCCACAGUCGUAAUAGUCGACGCAUCGCGGAGUCAUGGCUGGAGCGGAAACCAAUGAGGUUGGUCAAGCAGGCGGUAGCCCUUUGUGCCAUUUGUUGAUAUAGCCGAGAGCGUGUGUGGUGGAGCCGUGGUCGAGGUAGCCGUGCGAAGAAUGCCGUGGUCGAUGUCGAGUCAGGGUGGCCGAUGUCGAGGAAGUCGCCAUGGAGCCGCGGGCGCAAGGGGGCGCCGAGUUAGCAUGGGCCCGGUGGUGUCGAAGUAGUGGUGCGCCGGAGAGGAGAUGUUGUUGACGACGCGUCGCGGCGGGUUUGCCAAGCCCGGAGACAUAUCGUAGACGAAGGCACGCAUCGGUGUUGCCAGCACCGGGCAUGCAUAGACGGACGAAGACGAAGUUGACGAAACACCGACCAGGCUUGCCAGGCCCGGAGACACGUCGUGGAUGAAGGCACGCAUUAGUGUUGCCAGCACCGGGCAUGCGUAGACGAGGGACCUGCACAAACUGUACGCCAUGUCGGAGAAAUCAGAGGGGCCAGCAGAGAAGAACUCGACGACGAUUGCGGCGUCCAUCGGCGCGGGGCCGAUGUCACCAAUGGUGGUCGGAGUAGACGAAGUGGUCGGGGUAGAUGACGGCGACGCUGGCGAUGGGCUGGUGCUUGGACGAAGACGAAGAAGGUGGACGGGCGGUCGCGGCGGCUACGUGGGUAGCGGCGGCGGCCAAAGAAGAGUGGCGGCGGCGGCCUGACGGCGGCGGCGGCGGCUAGGUUAGGAGCGCGGCUGCGGUGCUCGAAGUAGGCGAAGAACCCUGACAGCUUGACGAAGACUGGCGCGGAUGGUGGCGUUCCCGCGCCAAGGGAGACGUUGCGGCGCAUACCACGGAAGGUCGACGUGCGGAGACGGCGGAGUGGACCGCGGGCCGCGGCGCUACGGCCCGAAGGGGCGACGCAGCAGCGGCAGACGGGUCGGGGAGACGGCGGGAAGACCUCUGGGCGGCGGAGGGACAGCGGGCCGUGACGUUGCGGCACAAAUGGGCGACACAACGGCGGUUCGCGAGUCGGUGCAACCGCGGGGACGGCCUCGGGAUGGCGGCGUGGACCGCGUGCCACGCUCGCUACGGCCCGACGGGGCGACGCAGCGGCGGCGCGAGGGGCGUGGCAACCACGGGACGGCCUAGAGCGCACGCCCUCGGGGCGGAGGGACCGCGGGCCGCGGCACUACAGCCCGAAGGGGCGACCCAGCGGUGAUGCGGGUCGGUGCAGCCGGGAGAAGAACCACGGGGCGACGGUGCUGCGGCCCGACGGGGCGACGCAGCAGCAGCCCGAUGCUCGAUCGGUGGAGAGGCGCUGAACUCAGGGACGGUCUUCACAGGACCUGCGGAGGCGCGCGUAACCGACGGGUCAGGUCAGUUGCGCGACGUAGAUGAGGCGGAUCGCGGCGGCGAGCGGGUGAUCAAGCCGAUCGCGCGCGAGGUCGGGGACGCCGCUCGGUGGAGGCGUGGUUAUGGCGGAGUCCGAGAUGAAGCUGGUGGCGGCGGGCGAUAGGGCGGCUAUGAUUGGCCGCCGCAUGGCGCGAGGCCGUCGGGUCGGGGUGAUGCAGGAGUCCCGGUCAGAGCAGGGCGGUGACGGCCGGCGUAGAUCGACGGGCGGGCCAUCGCGCGAACGGCGGCGGUGAAGGNNNNNNNNNNNNNNNNNNNNNNNNNNNNNNNNNNNNNNNNNNNNNNNNNNNNNNNNNNNNNNNNNNNNNNNNNNNNNNNNNNNNNNNNNNNNNNNNNNNNNNNNNNNNNNNNNNNNNNNNNNNNNNNNNNNNNNNNNNNNNNNNNNNNNNNNNNNNNNNNNNNNNNNNNNNNNNNNNNNNNNNNNNNNNNNNNNNNNNNNNNNNNNNNNNNNNNNNNNNNNNNNNNNNNNNNNNNNNNNNNNNNNNNNNNNNNNNNNNNNNNNNNNNNNNNNNNNNNNNNNNNNNNNNNNNNNNNNNNNNNNNNNNNNNNNNNNNNNNNNNNNNNNNNNNNNNNNNNNNNNNNNNNNNNNNNNNNNNNNNNNNNNNNNNNNNNNNNNNNNNNNNNNNNNNNNNNNNNNNNNNNNNNNNNNNNNNNNNNNNNNNNNNNNNNNNNNNNNNNNNNNNNNNNNNNNNNNNNNNNNNNNNNNNNNNNNNNNNNNNNNNNNNNNNNNNNNNNNNACGGCCCGCGAGGCCGCCGCGUCGGGGCGACAGACGGGCAGACGCGGGGACGGCCCGCGAGGCCGCCGGGUCGGUGAAGAAGCUGGCCAAUCGCGCCGGUGUUGGAGUAGAGGUGCACGGGGUCGACGGCGGCAGUGGGCGACGCAAAUCGGAUCACAUAGACCGGAAAACCAAAAAGUAGACGCCGAUCAAAGCGACUGGCGAGAGAGAGAAAAUCCGGAUCAAAGGAUCGGGAAAAAAGACUCUCUAGGGAAGCCGACCAACACGACCGGCGGACGAACCCUAGGUACGGGCGGCGCGGCCCCCGGCGACGGUCAUGGAGGCCGACCGCCCCGGGGGCGGCACGCAGGUGCGGAAGCAUUAUACUGAACACUAUUCACUUAGAGAGUUCCAAAGAGAGCAUUUGAUCAAAAGUUUAUUUCACCCUAACAAAAGCAUAUCAGAAUAUUGCAUACAACAAUGUGGUAGCUACAGACAUAUGAUACUAAGGCCAAAUCCAACGCGCAACCCUAAAUGGUCCGGCCGCGUCUAUUUGAGGCUAAAUGGAGACAAAUUGUGCCCCAACAUAUGGGAGCAAACGAAAAAUGUCCGCAAGAAUAGCAAACCUGUGAGCUUACAGAAGGAGACAGACAAGGCAACUUCACAGGCCGAGAAAGGCCGCGAUUUCCAUCUGACGUGAGCAGCACCAAAGCAGCCAACGCAGAGGAGAAGCAGCGGCCAGCACUGGAUCCUCCUCUCCGGCCAAGAGCGGUGCCACCCACUCUCCGAAGAGAGACCAGAGCCGCCGCCCCCUCAUCCAAAUAUGCAGGAUGAACAAAAGAUAAGAAUCCAAUCAGAGAGAAGGCAGAAUCACACCGACCCUAGCAAGGAAGAGCAGAGCGACGCGGACACAUGGACAACAAGGCGUCCCAAACCGCCAUCAAGGCAAUUUCAACCGGCCGAAGCAAACCGAUAUGAUUUUGUCCGCUUGGAUCGAUCAAAGAGAUGCACGUGUCUGAUUUUGGAUUUGAAUGCCCCCAACACCAUAGACGCAUUUUAAUUCACACGGUCUUAAAAAAAACAAAAUAAGCAUGCAUGCAUAUUAAUAAAACAUAAUAAAAAACACCAGCCAAAGUCCACUUUAAACCUAAUAAUUAUACAAAAAAACAUAAAUAAAUAAAAAACCAACCCCUCUGUCACAUCCCACAGCCCUAGUCAUCGUCCUCGGAGUGGUGGGGUUGGAGUACACCGCCACCUCAGCCCAAGGGAAGGCCCGCCGGUUGGCCACCGACGCUUCCUCCUCCGGUGUUUGCUGCUGCUGCGGCGACAAUGCUCCUUGGCACAGCGCGCACCUCCUCCUACUUUUGUCACCGCUCCUCCUCCUCCUCCUUGUGCGCCAAACGUUGUCGAUGCUCCUCCUUCUCGCGCUCCCGCUAAAUUUGCUGCUCGGCGUGGCCCACUCAUCUGCCAGCCGGUGCCCCUUCCACACUUCAAGGUGUUGCGCCUCCUCAUCGGCGGUGGAAUGCAUCCACACGGGCGGCGCGUUGACCCACUGCCCGAGGAUGCUGGUCCACUGGAACCUCCCACGGACGCCGUCGGGUAGAUCUAGCACCGCCUUGGGCACCAGCGAUGUUGGUGGUGCCGGUGGUGGUGGCGGGCAGACGCAUUCGACUGCCGUGGAGAGCUGGAGCGCCUCCUCCAUGCCAGUCCAGCGCGCGUCCUCCUCAUGCAUGACUCUUCAAGGGUGCGCUGGAGUGCCUCCUCGAGUGAGGCCUGGUACUCAGCCUCUGCUUCCACUCCUUCACCACCGGCGGUGGCAGUGGAGGGUGGGCCUCGACCUGGAUGGCCGUCGUGGCGCACAUCUUGCUCCAUGGCGAACUAGACGUGCCAGUUGGAGCUGUCUAGCAUCUGGGUCACGGUGAUGCACCAGCGUGAGAAGGGCAUGUCGGUUGUAGAUCUCUGCCGCAUGUGCUCGCUGACACUACUGCACGCCCGACAUCGGAAUGAGGUGGAGGUUGUGAUGCCAGCCAUGGGGAAGGUUGAUAUCCGGCCACGACAGUGGGACAUCCGACAAAUUUGAGUUUGAAAUGCAUCCACACGGACACGAGGCGAACGAAAUUUGGGUUUGUGUCGGCGUGUUGGGCCAGAAUUUUCGUAUGUUUUGACCCAAACAGACACGCGCGGACCAAAUGUGUCGACGCGUUCAAGUAGCGCUCAUUAUACACUAGUGGGCCCAAAAGUCAAACCCAAUGGUGCAUACACGUACUGGCAGGGCCCAUCCAGCUGCCGACCACCCUUGAUUCACCAGGACGCUCGUAGCCGAGAGAGCUUAGUAACUUUACUGAUUGCAAUUUGUCCUGCUCAGACGAUUUGCAAUACUAUGUAGAUGAACGGUUCCUCACAAAAAAUAUGUGGAUGAACGUAGGGAUAAACCCUUUGCGGUGCAAGACCUCAGAUAAGAAUGACCAACUAACCCUGUCGUACGUUUUUUCGAACUCUAGUUUAAGAAUAAUUGUAAGCAUUUUCGUCCUUUCGAGCUCAUGCAUGAUUUCGUUAAGACAAAGAACCCCUUUGAUAAUAAUUGGACCCUUAUUAAAGGCCGUUUGAGACAUGUCUGACAAUUUUAGCAGCAAUGGACGGCCUCUCGCGUCCGUGUUUCGAGGACUGGUCCACCCAUGUCCGUGGAGGGAUGCGGAAAAAAUUUACGGGUUGUCGUUGGAGAUGCCCUAAUAAUAUGUUUGAUGAUUCUUGCCCUUUAAAGCAACCUUGUAAAAUAGUGGAUGUCGUGACAUCACCCUGAUGGCAGCUAUCUUUCCAAAGCAUCAGCUCUUACGACUUGUAGACUACAAGCUCUGCUCUGAUAGUUCUGUAACAGCGGCCAAAAUCUCCUAGAGCAUUAUUCUAGAGGCGUGCGAAAUCAUGAGCUUUAGCUAUGAUCGUUCGAAGACAAUCAAGGAUAAGCCUCUACUCUAUCUAAUACAUAUACGUCCCCUCCAACAAGGGCAAGACACUUCAGCAAUUCUAUUCAGCACCUUUCUAGUACGUAGUUGGCAAGAGGGUUGCAGGAGGAAAUAGCUAAUCAGACCUAAUCAACAAAAAAUGCUAAACAGUCACAUAUUCCCCUGGAGCAUCAUUACAUUUCCUAAUAACUCUCAAUCCUAGCACCUUGGUGCACACCAUUGUACACUGGCCAUCAUGUUGGUAAUUCACUAGUAAGCAAUCUUCGAGCGGACUUGCCUACUCGGGCUACUAAUUUUGUAUAUCCAUCAGAAUGAAACUGUCUUUGAUGUUUCUCUCUCUGAUCUCUCUUGACCUCCGAGGCUCCGACCACACUUCUUAGUGCAUUAUGCUUUCUUUGAUGAAGGGUAUCCCUCCCCUUUUAUGGAGUGUAUCUUCAGUGCCAUGUACAAUAGUGCAAAGGCUGCAACAGCAGGUUUCAGAUCAUUUUUUAGAGAAAAGGCCUAAGCCCGACUUUAUAAAUAAAGCCACAAGGCAGCGUCAUAAACCCAAACAUCAACCAGGGCGAUACACCCAACAUCCACAGCAUCAGAAAUAAUCCAAGGCACACGAAAGUACUAGGGGUACAUGGCAACCUGCCAAACACGGCAUGCAGGCCGGAAGGAAAACGAAACAACCACCAACAGGAAGGACGAGACUGCACCAAGCAGGUUAGACAUCAGGAGCCUCCCCGGAGAUGGAGGACGCCGAGGCCCGAAUUUUAGAGAUUAGCAGGUCCAGAGCUCCCCGAUCAUCCUCUUUAGUCAAUGAUCUCCACUGCUGCAAGAAUAUACAUGAUUUGAAAAGAACGUCAGCAACCUUCGAAGGAAAGACAUGUUCAAUAGUAAAUUUGUUCCUAAUCGUCCAAAGGGACCAGCAAAUCGCACCCAAGCCAACCCAGAAAACCCUCUUAGUGACCCCAACCAACGAGUUGGCUAGGUUUCUCAUCUCUCGAAAGGAAGAGGGGUUCCAAGUAACCUGGAGCCACGACCGGUCGCAGCUCCACACUAACUUAGCGGAAACACAGUGAAAGAAGAUGUGCUCCGUGUUUUCCACAGCACCGCAAAGAGCACAAAAUUCCGAGCCCGGACCAUUACGCUUACGGAUUUGGUCAGCAGCGGGGAGCCGCCCUCUAAAGGCUUGCCAGAGGAAGAUUUUAACCUUAGGAGGAACUUUGGACCUCCAAAUGCAAGAGAACCUAUUGGAAGGGACGCCUCCGAUGAGCCUCGCGUACAAAGACUUAACCGAAAAGCGACCAGAGGCAGAAUGAGGCCAGACAACAGAAUCCGGAGACUCCGAGAGCAGGGGGAAGAAGGCAGAAAGGCUUUGCCAGUCUUCCAACUCUUCAGGAGUCAGGGAGCGGCGAAAGGCCAAAUCCCAAUUAUUAGCUGCCACCUCCGUGAUGGAGAUUUCAGGGUUAGGACAGAAAGAAAACAACACCGGGAACCUAUGAGCCAAAGGAGCAUCACCACACCACCAGUCGCGGCAAAAACGAACCGAGGUACCAUCGCCCACAGUAAACUUAACAUGAUCCAGGAAGAGAGGCCUGACUUUAAUAAGGUCCUUCCAGAAUUGAGAUCCACGCCAGGCACCGGCAAACAAAGGACUGGAGUGAGGAAAGUAUUUAGCCUUAAGGAUGGAAUACCAAAGAGAGUCGGCCCCACUGGACAUUAUUUUCCACCACCAUUUAAUUAACAGACACUUGUUCAUGACCAGCGUAUUAAUAAUGCCUAACCCUCCAAGGUUUUUAGGCCUACACAUAAGCUUCUAUUUAACCAACAUGUACUUCCGUUUAUUAUCAGCAGCGUUCCAAUAAAAAGCACCCCUAUGCUUGUCAAAACCAGCAUGGGUGCCAACUAAAAGAAGAUAGAAGCCCAUAAGAAACAUUGGGAGGGAGGAGAGACAAGCAUUAAUGAGAGCAACUUUGCCAGCAUUGGUAUUGUAUCUACCACGCCAGGGAAGGACCCUAUUUCCCACCUUAGACACAGCCGAAGCAAAGUCCUUAGCAUGAAGCACCACAGGAGAGAUAGGAAGACCCAAAUAUUUGAAGGGGAAAGUGCCCAAGGAACAAUUUAGCAACCUAGCAACUCUCAAGGCCUCUGUAUCAUCGACGCCAGUAACAAGAACCUCACUUUUGGAAAAGUUAAUUUUCAGGCCCGAGACAGCCUCAAAGCAAAGCAGGAUGAACUUAAGGUGGGCAAUGCAGGCAUCAUUCAAUUCGACCAUAAUGAUGGUAUCAUCGGCGUACUGCAGGUGAGUAAUACCAUCCGGGACUAGGUGAGAAGCCACAGGCAAGAUAUGACCAUGCUGCACCGCCCUAAGAAGAAUGUGGGAGAAGGCGUCGGCCCCAAAAUUGAAAAGCACAGGGGAGGCAGGGUCCCCUUGACGCAAGCCUCAGCCGUUAACAAAGAAAUUACUAAUGUGACCAUUCACAGAGACCGUGGUGUGACCGCCCAAGACCAACUGCAUGGUACGAUGCACAUAAGCCCCAUCGAAGCCUUUCGCAAGAAGGACCUGCCUUAGAAAAGGCCAGCUAACCGAAUCAUAGGCUUUCUCAAGAUCAAGUUUUAAAAUGAUCGCUUUGGAGUUACGAGCCCGCAGGUCAUGAACAAUUUCAUGAAGACAGAGGACCCCGUCUAGAAUGAAGCGCCCUUUGAUGAAAGCAGACUGAUGCGGGCUGAUGACUCUAUGGGCAACGGGGGAUAGGCGAUUGGUGAAACCCUUUGCAGGGAAUUUAGCAAAGUUAUUAAUCAAAGCGAUGGGCCUAAACUGAGAGAUCAAUUCGGCACCUUUAACUUUAGGGAUCAGGGAUAUCACCGCAUAGUUAAGUCAAGAAAUAUCAACAGUGCCUAGGCAAAACCCUUGGAUGGCAUUACAAACUAACUGCCUCAACUGAGGCCAAAACUUCCGGAAGAAAGGAAUAGAGAAACCGUCCGGCCCAGAUGCAGCGUUCGGGUUAGCAAAAUUUACCACAUCCCAGAUCUGCUUAUCAGAAAGGGGGAUCAUCAAUGCAGCGUUCUCCUCGGCCGAAACCCUCAAACUAUGGUCCCUUAGGAUAGGAGAGAUAGACAGUCCCGAAGGAGGUUUGGCCCCUAACAACGAAGAGAAGAACUCAACCACAUGAGAUAGGAUUAACGAAUGGUCUGAAGUACGCACACCAUUAAUGAUCAGGCUAUUAAUACCACACCGCCUCCGCCUACCAUUAGCAAUGCCAAAGUAAGCCGUUGGGGAGUCCCCUAUCAAGGUCCAGUUAAGCGUACCUUGCUGGCGCUAGUAAAUUUUCGCCUGAUGAUGCAACUGCAUCAAGGCGGCCUCAAGGUUAUAACGGAGAGACCACCCAUCGUCAGAGAGCCCAGAGGAGUCAACUGAUACGUCCAUUUUGCAACAUGCUUUUAUAUCAAUAUUUAUUGCAUUAUAGGCUGUUAUUACACUUUAUAUCUCUUUACUUAUGGCUAUUCUCUCUUAUUUUACAAGGUUUACCAUGAAGAGGGGGAAUGUCGGCAGCUAGAAUUCUGGCUGGAAAAGGAGCAAACGUUGGGAACCUAUUCUGCACAGCUCCAAAAGUCCUGAGACUCCAUGAAACAACUUUUUGGAAUUAUUAAGAAUUUCUGAGUGAAAGAAAUAGGCCAGGGGCCCCACACCCUGUCCAGGAGACAGCCCCCCCCCCUAAGGGUGCGCCCCUAUCUCCUGGGCCCCCUGGUGGGGCUCCGGCGUCCAUCUUCUGCUAUAUCAUCAUUUUUACUCUGGAAAAAAUCGUCGGCAGGCUUACGGGACGAAACUCCGCCGCCACGAGGAGGAACCUUGGCGGAAUCAAUCUAGGGCUCUGGCGGAGCUGUUCUACCGUGGAGACUUCCCUCCGGGAGGGGGAAAUCAUCACCAACGUCAUCACCAACGAUCCUCUCAUCAAGAGGGGGGUCAAUCUCCAUCAACAUCUUCACCAGCACCAUCUCCUCUCAAAACCCUAGUUCAUCUCUUGUAUCCAAUCUUGUAUCAAAACAACAAAUUGGUACCUGUGGGUUGCUAGUAGUGUUGAUUACUCCUUGUAGUUGAUGCUAAUUGGUUUACUUGGUGGAAGAUCAUAUGUUCAGAUCCUUUAUGCAUAUCAUUACUCCUCUGAUUAUGAACAUGAAUAUGCUUUGUGAGUAGUUACGUUUGUUCCUGAGGACAUGGGUGAAGUAUUGCUAUUAGUAGUCAUGUGAAUUUGGUAUUCGUUCGAUAUUUUGAUGAGAUGUAUGUUGUCUUUUCCUCUAGUGGUGUUAUGUGAACGUCGACUACAUGACACUUCACCAUUAUUUGGGCCUAGAGGAAGGCAUGGAGAAGUAAUAAGUAGAUGAUGGGUUGCUAGAGUGACAAAAGUUUAAACCCUAGUUUAUGUGUUGCUUCGUUAGGGGCUGAUAUGGAUCCAUAUGUUUAAUGUUGUGGUUAGGUUUACCUUAAUACUUCUUUUGUAGUUGUGGACGCUUGCAAUAGGGGUUAAUCAUAAGUGGGAUGCUUGUCCAAGUUAGGGCAGUACCCAAGUUCCGGUCCACCCACAUAUCAAAUUAUCAAAGUACCGAACGCGAAUCAUAUGAACGUGAUGAAAACUAGCUUGACGAUAAUUCCCAAUGUGUCCUCGGGAGCUCCUUUCUCAUUAUUAGAAAUUGUCCAGGCUUAUCCUUUGCUUCAUAAAGGAUUGGGCCACCUUGAUGCACUUUAUUUACUUAUUGCUUGUUACUAUUUAUCUUAUCACAAAACUAUCUAUUACCUACAAUUUCAGUGCUUGCAGAGAAAACCUUACUGAAAACCGCUUAUCAUUUCCUUCUGCUCCUUGUUGGGUUCGACACUCUUAUUUAUCGAAAGGACUACGAUAGAUCCCCUACACUUGUGGGUCAUCAAGACUCUUUUCUGGCGCCUUUGCCGGGGAGUGUAGCGCUUUUGGUGAGUGGAACUUGGUAAGGAAACAUUUAUAUAGUAUGCUGAAAUUUUCUGUUACUUGUCACUAUGGAAACUAAUCCGUUGAGGGGCUUGUUUGGGGUAUCUUCACCCCAACCAGAAGAGCAAAGAUUUGCUCGUCAACUUACUGAACUUUAUGAAAAUAUUUACUUUGAGAUUCCUUCGGGUAUGAUAGAGAAACUGCUAGCUAAUCUAUUUGCAGGAGAUGGAACAUUGCAUCCCGAUUUACACCUUAUCUUUGUGGAUGAAGUUUGUGGAUUAUUUAAGCUUGCAGGUAUUCCCGAUGAUGUUGUCAAAAGGAAGGUUUUCCCUUUAUCUUUGAAGGGAGAUGCAUCGACAUGGUAUAGGCUAUGUGAUGAUACGAGAUCUUGGAAUUAUAAGCGAUUGAAGUUGGAAUUUCACCAGAAGUUCUAUCCUAUGCAUCUUGUUCAUCAUGAUCGUAAUUACAUAUAUAAUUUCUGGCCUCGCGAAGGAGAAAGCAUCGCUCAAGCUUGGGGGAGGCUUAAAUUAAUGUUAUAUUCAUGCCCCAAUCAUGAGCUCUCUCGGGAAAUGAUUAUUCAGAAUUUUUAUGCUCGGCUUUGUCUUGAUAAUCGCAACUUGCUCGAUACUUCCUGUGAUGGUUCUUAUAUGCUGAAGACUACUGAUUUCAAAUGGGACUUAUUGGAAAGAAUUAAGCGCAACUCUGAAGAUUGGGGUUCCGACGAUGAUAAGGAGUCAGGUAUGACACCUAAGUUCGAUUGUGUUAAAUCUUUUAUGGAUACCGAUGCUUUUCGUGGAUUUAGCGCUACGUAUGGACUUGACUCUGAGAUAGUAGCUACUUUUUGUGAAUAUUUUGCUACUCACAUUGAUCUCCCUAAAGAGAAGUGGUUUAAAUAUAAUCCUCAUGUUGAAGUGAAAGUAGUUGCACCUAUUACAGUCGAAGAAAAGACUAUUACCUAUAGUGAUCCUAUUGUUCCUACUGCUUAUGUUGAAAAACCUCCUUUUCCUGUUAGGAUAAAGGAUCAUGCUAAAGCUUCAACUAUUGUUCGUAAGAGUAAUACUAGGACUUAUACACCUCCUGAGCAAAUUAAUGUUGAACCUAGUAUUGCUAUGGUUAAAGAUCUCUUGGAUGAGGACUUAGAUGGGCAUGUUAUUUCUUUCUUGGGUGAGACUGCUAAUAUUGCUAGACCUGAUACUAAGACACGUAGACCUGUCGUAGGCAUGCCUGUUAUUUCUGUUAAAAUAGGAGAUCAUUGUUAUCAUGUCUUAUGUGAUAUGGGUGCUAGUGCUAGUGCGAUACCUUAUGAUCUUUAUAAAGAAAUUAUGCACGACAUUGCACUCGAUGAAUUAGAAGACAUUGAUGUUACUAUUAAGCUUGCUAAUAGGGAUACCAUUAAACCUAUUGGGAUUGUGAGAGAUGUUGAAGUUUUGUGUGGGAAGGUUAAAUACCCUGCUGAUUUUCUUGUUCUUGGUUCCCCACAAGAUGAUUUUUGUCCCAUUAUUUUUGGUAGACCCUUCUUGAAUACUGCUAGUGCUAAGAUUAAUUGUGAAAAUAAUAUUGUCACUGUUGGCAUAGAUGGUAUGUCUCAUGAGUUUAAUUUUGCUAAGUUUAGUAGACAACCUCGUGAAAGGGAACCACCUAGUAAGGAUGAGAUUAUUGGUCUUGCUUCCAUUGCUGUUCCUCCAACUGAUCCAUUAGAACAAUAUUUGCUAGACCAUGAAAAUGAUAUGUUUAUGAAGGAAAGGGAAGAAAUAUAUGAAGUGUUCCUUAAACAGGAACCUAUGCUGAAACAUAACCUUCCCGUUGAAGUUCUUGGGGAUCCUCCUCCACCAAAGGGUGAUCCCGUGUUUGAACUCAAACCAUUACCUGAUAAUCUUAAGUAUGCUUAUCUUGAUGAAAAAGAAAUAUAUCUUGUUAUUAUUAGUGCUAAACCUUCAGAGAAAGAAGAAGAAAGAUUAUUGAAAACUCUGAAGAAGCACCGAGCAACUAUUGGAUAUACUCUGGAUGAUCUUAAGGGCAUUAGUCCCACAUUAUGUCAACACAAGAUUUCAGUGGAGAAAGAUGCCAAACCAGUUAGGGAUCCUCAAAGACGAUUAAAUCCCAAGAUGAAGGAAGUGGUAAGAAAGGAGAUACUAAAGCUCCUUGAGGAAGGUAUUAUUUAUCCCGUUGCUGAUAGUGAAUGGGUAAGCCCUGUCCAUUGUGAAUUGAUCCCACAAAGAAUUAUUAUAGGUUAUAGGAUGGUAAUUGAUUUCCGUAAGUUAAAUAAAGCCACUAAGAAAGAUCAUUACCCUUUACCUUUUAUUGAUCAAAUGCUACAAAGGCUAUCCAAACACACACAUUUUUGCUUUCUAGAUGGUUAUUCUGGUUUCUCUCAGAUACCUGUGUCAGUGAAGGAUCAAUCUAAAACUACUUUUACUUGCCCUUUUGGUACUUUUGCUUAUAGACGUGUGCCUUUUGGUUUAUGUAAUGCUCCUACUACCUUUCAAAGAUGCAUGAUGGCUAUAUUCUCUGAUUUUUGUGAAAAGAUUUGUGAGUAUUCAUGGAUGACUUCUCCGUCUAUGGAUCCUCUUUUGAUGAUUGUUUGAGCAACCUUGAUCGAGUUUUGUAGAGAUGCGAAGACACUAGUCUCGUCCUGAAUUGGGAAAAGUGUCACUUUACGGUUAAUGAAGGCAUUGUCUUGGGGCACAAGAUCUCCGAGAGAGGUAUUGAAGUUGAUAAAGCCAAAGUUGAUGCUAUUGAAAAGAUGUCAUGUCCCAAGGACGUAAAAGGUAUAAGAAGUUUCCUUGGUCAUGCCGGCUUUUAUAGGAGGUUCAUUAAGGACUUUUCUAAAAUCUCUAGGCCUCUAACUAAUUUAUUGCAAAAAGAUAUUCCUUUUGUCUUUGAUGAUGAUUGUGUAGAAGCGUUUGAAGUGCUUAAGAAAGCUUUGAUAACUGCACCUAUUGUUCAGCCACGUGAUUGGAAUUUACCUUUUGAAAUUAUGUAUGAUGCUAGUGAUUAUGCUGUAGGUGCUGUUUUAGGGCAAAGAGUUGAGAAGAAAUUGAAUGUUAUCCAGUAUGCUAGUAAGACUCUUGAUGCUGCCCAGAGAAAUUAUGCUACUACUGAAAAAGAGUUCUUAGCAGUUGUGUUUGCAUGUGAUAAGUUCAGACCUUAUAUUGUUGAUUCCAAAGUUACUAUUCACACUGAUCAUGCUGCUAUUAAAUAUGUUAUGGAAAAGAAAGAUGCUAAGCCUAGACUCAUUAGAUGGGUUCUCUUGCUCCAAGAAUUUGACUUCCAUAUUAUUGAUAGAAAGAGAGUUGAGAACCCCGUUGCAGAUAACUUGUCUAGGUUAGAGAAUAUUCUUGAUGACCCACUGUCUAUUAAUGAUAGCUUUCCUGAUGAACAAUUAGCAGUCGUCAAUGCUUCCCGUACUGCUCCUUGGUAUGCUGAUUAUGCUAAUUACAUUGUUGCUAAAUAUUUACCGCCUAGUUUCACAUACCAGCAAAAGAAAAAGUUCUUUUAUGAUUUAAGACAUUACUUCUGGGAUAAUCCACACCUUUAUAAAGAAGGAGUAGAUGGUGUUAUUAGACGUUGUGUGCCUGAGCAUGAACAGGAACAUAUCCUACGCAAGUGUCACUCUGAAUCUUAUGGAGGACACCACGCUGGAGAUAGAACUGCACACAAGGUACUACAAUCUGGUUUUUAUUGGCCUAAUCUCUUCAAAGAUGCUCGUAAGUUUGUCUUAUCUUGUGAUGAAUGUCAAAGAAUACGUAACAUUAGUAGACGUCAAGAAAUGCCUAUGAAUUAUUCUCUUGUUAUUGAACCGUUUGAUGUUCGGGGCUUUGAUUAUAUGGGACCUUUUCUUGCCUCUAAUGGUUAUACACAUAUUUUAGUUGUUGUUGAUUACGUUACUAAGUGGGUAGAAGCUAUUCCAACUAGUAGUGUUGAUCAUAACACUUCUAUUAAAAUGCUUAAAGAAGUUAUUUUUCCGAGGUUUGGAGUCCCUAGAUAUCUUAUGACUGAUGGUGGUUCACAUUUCAUUCGUGGUGCUUUCCGUUAGAUGCUCGCUAAGUAUGAUGUCAAUCAUAGAAUAGCAUCUCCUUAUCAUCUGCAGUCUAGUGGUCAAGUAGAGUUGAGCAAUAGAGAGCUCAAAUUAAUUUUGCAAAAGACUGUGAAUAGAUCUAGAAUGAAUUGGUCCAAAAAACUUGAUGAUGCAUUAUGGGCCUAUAGAACUGCAUACAAAAAUCCUAUGGGUAUGUCUCCUUAUAAGAUGGUUUAUGGAAAAGCGUGUCAUUUACCUCUUGAACUUGAACAUAAAGCAUAUUGGGCUAUUAAAGAGAUCAAUUAUGACUUUAAGCAUGCUGGUGAGAAGAGGUUAUUCGAUAUUAGCUCACUUGAUGAAUGGAGAACCCAAGCCUAUGAGAAUGCCAAGCAUUUCAAAGAAAAAGUCAAACACUGGCAUGAUAAGAGGAUACAAAAGCGUGAGUUUAACGUAGGAGAUUAUGUGUUAUUAUUCAACUCUCGUUUAAGAUUUUUUGCAGGAAAACUUCUCUCAAAAUGGGAAGGUCCCUACGUUAUCGAGGAGGUCUAUCGUUCUGGUGCCAUAAAAAUCAACAACUUCGAAGGCACAAAUCCGAGGGUGGUAAACGGUCAAAGAAUUAAACAUUAUAUUUUAGGUAAUCCUAUCAAUGUUGAAACUAAUAUUAUUGAAACCGUACGUAACCCCUGAGGAAUACAUAAGGGACACUUUCCAGAACGUUCCAGACUCCGAAAAGGCAUAGGUAUGUGGUACGGUAAGUAAACCGACUCCAAAACAACUCCAAUGGCAAUUUUUAUAAGUUUUGGAAUAUUUAAGAAUUUUAGGAAGAAAGAAGUAGUCCGAAAGGGACACGGGGCUCCCACAAGAGUGGAGGGCGCGCCCCCUGUCUCGUGAGCACCUCGUGUGCCUCCCGGACUCCGUUUUCUUGCACGUUACGUAUUUUGGUCGGUAAAAAUUCAUUAUAUAUACUCCCGAAGGUUUUGACCACCGUAUCACACAAAUAUCCUCUGUUUUCGUUUCGAGUUGUUUCCGUUGCGGAUUUAGAGCGCCAUGGCUUCACCUUCCUCCAACAUGAAGACAAGGAUGCUUGACUUUUGAAGAUAGAGCUGAAAAGAGAAGAACCAGAAGAGAUCAACAAGGAUGAAGGGAUCAAGGAAGCCAUGGAGGUUGAAGCUCCGCCGGUGAAAGAAGAAGAUAUCCCUCAACCUUUACCUAACCUAUUUACUGCAAUAGAGAUUGAAGCUUUCAAGAUGAUUGAGUUAGCUCGCAUACAGAACAAGUAUCUCACACAUGAGAAUAUUCUGUUGAAGGAUCAUAUUGCUGGGCUUAAGGGCAUUAUCCGCAAGUUGGAGGAGCUUUUACGCUCAAUGUGCAAUUAUCCACCGUCAUCAUCACCACCUCCAUCACCUCCGAGGAAAUAAUCACAUGGGUAUGGGCACUCCCUUGGCAACUACCAAUCUUGGGGGAGGUGCCCCGGUAUCGUAUCACCAUCACACUCCUAUCUUUACUGCUUUAUUUAGUUUGAUCCUUUUAGUAGUAUCUUGAUCUAGUAGAUUGAAGUUUUGAUAUCAAGUAGUUUGAGUUUUUCUUUGUGAUCUCUUUUUGUAUUCGAGUCCGCGAGCUAUCUAUAAUAAAGAUUAGUGUUGAGUCAAGGGCUUUGCUAUGUGCUAUGAUCUUGAGGAAGUAGAAAGAAUUAAAGAGUUCUUAUUGAUCUUAUGGAUAGUGAUAACUUCACAUAUAGAAAGUAUGAGGCAUAAAAAUUGUUGAGAGUUGAUAAACGUAGUUUUGGUCAUCGUUGCAAUUAAUAGGAAGUGAUAAGGAAAGAGAGGUUCACAUAUAAAUAUACUAUCUUGGACAUCUUUUAUGAUUGUGAGCACUCAUUAAGUAUGACAUGCUAAAAGAGUUGACGUUGGACAAGGAAGACAACGUAAUGGUUUUUGUUUUCUCACAUCUCAGUUAAAGUAUAUUGUCAUUGAACUUCCAAACAUGUUGAGCUUGCCUUUCCCCCUCAUGCUAGCCAAAUUCCUAGUACCAAGUAGAGAUACUACUUGUGCUUCCAAAUACCCUUAAACCCAGUCUUGCUAUGAGAGUCCACAAUAUCUACCUAUGGAUUGAGUAAGAUCCUUCAAGUAAGUUGUCAUCGGUGCAAGCAAUAAAAAUUGCUCUCUAAUUAUGUAUGACUUAUUAGUGCGGAGAAAAUAAUCUUUGUACGAACUUGUUGUGGAAGUAAUAAAAGCGACGGACUGCAUAAUAAAAGUCCACACACAAGGGGCAAUAUAAAGUGACGUUCUUUUGCAUUAAGAUUUUAUGCAUCAACCCUAAACGCGCAUGACAACCUCUGCUUCCCUCUGCGAAGGGCCUAUCUUUUACUUUAUGUUUUUACUUUAUGCUUGAGUCAAGGUGAUGCUCACCUUUCCCUUUUUCAUUUUAUCCUUUGGCAAGCUUCUCGUGGUUUAAAGAUCGUGAUACAUAUAUCCAAUUGGAUGUUCGUUAGCAUGGGCUAUUAUUGUUGACAUCACCUAAAGGUGAAUACGUUGGGAGGCAACACAAUAAGCCCCUAUCUUUCUCAGUGUCCGGCUGAAACUCUAUAACCACAAGUAUUGCGUGAGUGUUACCAAUUGUAGAAGACUAUAUGAUAGUUGAGUAUGUGGACUCGCUGAAAAGCUCCAUUGUUGACUCUUUCUGAUGUUAUGAUAAAUUGUGAUUGCUUCAAUGACUGAGAUUAUAGUUUGUUAGUUCUCAAUGAAGUUUUUGAACCAUACUUGAAAUUGUGAAUUGAUUGUCACUUGAGCAUAAGAAAUUAUAUAUUGAAAUCUAUAUAUGUUGUUGUUAUUAGAAUGAUCAUGAUGCCCUCAUGUCCGUAUUUUAUUUUUAUCGACACCUCUAUCUCUAAACAUGUGGACAUAUUUUUCGAUUUCGGCUUCCGCUUGAGGACAAGCGAGGCCUAAUCUUGGGGAGUUGAUACCUCCAUUUUGCAUCAUGCUUUUAUAUCAAUAUUUAUCGCAUUAUGGGCUGUUAUUACACUUUAUAUCUCUUUACUUAUGGCUAUUCUCUCUUAUUUUACAAGGUUUACCAUGAAGAGGGGGAAUGCCGGUAGCUGGAAUUCUGGCUGGAAAAGGAGCAAACGUUGGGAACCUAUUCUGCAUAGCUCCAAAAGUCCUGAGACUCCAUGAAACAACUUUUUGGAAUUAUUAAGAAUUUCUUAGCGAAAGAAAUAGGCGAGGGGGCCCACACCCUGUCCAGGAGACAGGGGGCGCGCCCCCUAUCUCCUGGGCCCCCUGGUGGGCCUCCAGCGUCCAUCUUCUGCUAUAUCAUCACUUUUACCCUGGAAAAAAUUGUGGGCAAGCUUACGGGACGAAACUCCACCGCCACGAGGCGGAACCUUGGCGGAAUCAAUCUAGGGCUCUGGCGGAGCUGUUCUGCCGGGGACACUUCCGUCCGGGAGGGGGAAAUCAUCACCAACGUCAUCACCAACGAUCCUCUCAUCAAGAGGGGGGUCAAUCUCUAUCAACAUCUUCACCAGCACCAUCUCCUCUCAAAACCCUAGUUCAUCUCUUGUAUCCAAUCUUGUAUCAAAACAACAAAUUGGUACCUGUGGGUUGCUAGUAGUGUUGAUUACUCCUUGUAGUUGAUGCUAAUUGGUUUACUUGGUGGAAGAUCAUAUGUUCAGAUCCUUUAUGCAUAUCAUUACUCCUCUGAUUAUGAACAUGAAUAUGCUUUGUGAGUAGUUACGUUUGUUCCUGAGGACAUGGUUGAAGUAUUGCUAUUAGUAGUCAUGUGAAUUUGGUAUUCGUUCGAUAUUUUGAUGAGAUGUAUGUUGUCUUUUCCUCUAGUGGUGUUAUGUGAACGUCGACUACAUGACACUUCACCAUUAUUUGGGCCUAGAGGAAGGCAUGGAGAAGUAAUAAGUAGAUGAUGGGUUGCUAGAGUGACAAAAGUUUAAACCCUAGUUUAUGCGUUGCUUCGUUAGGGGCUGAUAUGGAUCCAUAUGUUUAAUGUUGUGGUUAGGUUUACCUUAAUACUUCUUUUGUAGUUGUGGACGCUUGCAAUAGGGGUUAAUCAUAAGUGGGAUGCUUGUCCAAGUUAGGGCAGUACCCAAGUUCCGGUCCACCCACAUAUCAAAUUAUCAAAGUACCGAACGCGAAUCAUAUGAACGUGAUGAAAACUAGCUUGACGAUAAUUCCCAAUGUGUCCUCGGGAGCUCCUUUCUCAUUAUUAGAAAUUGUCCAGGCUUAUCCUUUGCUUCAUAAAGGAUUGGGCCACCUUGCUGCACUUUAUUUACUUAUUGCUUGUUACUAUUUAUCUUAUCACAAAACUAUCUAUUACCUACAAUUUCAGUGCUUGCAGAGAAAACCUUACUGAAAACCGCUUAUCAUUUCCUUCUGCUCCUCGUUGGGUUCGACACUCUUACUUAUCGAAAGGACUACGAUAGAUCCCCGACACUUGUGGGUCAUCAUCAGCCGCAAGGUUAAGGGACAGAAUUUGAGCUUCAAGGAGGUCUUUCGAGCGAUGCUCCUCAUCUGCGUGGUUACGGGACCACCCUCUCAGAAAUUUCCGCAAAGUAUAGGAGCACGAGUGCCGAUCAUCUAGAGGACCAAAGGAGCGAGCAUUGGAGGAGAGAAGGAGGAUAAUCUUCGAGGCCAGCAUAUCACUGAAGCCAUCGAUCAGCAGCCAAGAAGCAUCAAAUUGGAAUCUAGCAGGAGGUCUAUGAAGUUGUGUCCCAUCGUCCAUAAGAAGAGGAGUAUGGUCCGAACCAACAAUACAUUUGGCGACGAGGGAGGCCCUGGGAAAUAACGAGUCCCACCUAGAGCAAAUAAAAACUCUAUCAAGAACCGACCUGAUCGGGUUAGCCUGGUGGUUAGACCAAGUGAAACAGGCUCGCCAGGGGCCACAAGAAGUUGUUAUUAUUUUUAUCAGAAGGGGAUCGAAGGAGGUUAAAGUCUCCGCCAAUAACCAUCGGUAAAUUGCAAGCCUCAAUCUUCUCAGAGAGCUCAUCCAGAAAUAGAGAAGAUAGCGAGUGAUCAGCUAGCCCAUAUACUACAAUGAACUCCCACAGCAAAUUAAGGGUUUUGUGGCAAACAACUGUGCUGGCCCAGAAGAUACCAUGAUCAAAGGCAACGAAAUCGAAAACAUCUUUUUUGGAGCCUAUGAGGAUCCCCCCCGAAUGGCCCGACGCAGGUAACAGAUGCCAAUAAAAUCUAUCCAUACCCGCAAUAGACGACAAUUCAUUAGGAGAGAAAGAUGCUUUGAAAGUUUCCACCAUCCCUAUCAAAUCAAUAUUAUUCGCACGAACCAAGUCUUUAAUUUGGUCCCGGCGCCCCCUAGCACUGAAACCCCUAAUGUUCCAGAAUAGGGCCCUCAUUUAUAGGAUAGAUUUUUAAUGCGGAGGCUAGACCUGCUAGGAACCAUGCAGGGUUUAGAUCGUUUAGAAGGGCCCUUUUUGGAGUUGUUAGGCUGGGGUUGGCCACUACCAACCUCCAACCCCUCACCCUGAGCCCGGGUUCCUACAGAAGCAGCAGCCGAAGAGGCAACGGCCUCUUUAGCUUUAGCAAUAGCCGCCUGGGCCAACUCGUUAGCCCGAAUAGUAGAGAGAAGAGCAGCAGGAGAGCAAACUUCGGGAUCUACAAACACUCCCACAUCUGACAUAAUAUUUAACAAGAAAUCAUCAGAUAAAGACGGUAGGACUAGCCGAGACAGGGAAGAAGGGGGGCAAGGGCCAUGGAGGUUACCUGAAGGGGGGAGAUCCUUAGCAGCAGCCCGCCUCUCUGUCCGCUCCAUGAUGGAACCACCCGCAUCAGCAACCCGCCUACCCUUGCGAGUCGUGGACGCGGGCGACCGAAUCGCUGAAGAACGGGCCAUGGGAGAAGCCGGGAUGGGGCCGGAGCGGGACAUCGAGCCGAGGUCCUUGUCGAGGCGGCGACAGACACCAGUCAUGGACUGCUUGGAGCCCGAGGAGUUUCUGCUCUUAGCCGGAAACUUGAGCACAAAAGAUAUCUUCUUUCUCUUAGACUGGGCUCCCACCUCAUCACGAACAGGAGAGACAGGCAGGUCCUCAAUCCCGGAGCGAGUGGGAGAGAUCGGGCGAAUAGGGAGGUUGGAGCAGGCACCGGAGGUGGGAGUGGCCGAAAUCGGCUGGAUCUUCAGAAGCAUAUCAUCAGAAGGAGGAAUCAGGAGGUUAGACUCGGGGAUCGCCGCCGGCUCACGAGGAGCCGUAGCAGCAGGGGCCUGGGAUUAAAACAGCUCACGCUCCGACUCAGCCAGCCCAUCCCAUUCAGAUUGGGUAAACCUCAGGUUGGAGCCAUCACUUGGAUUUUGACCACCAGCAGAUCCAGCACCCUCCUUGUCAUGCUUGUCGGAGGGGUUGGACGGGGGAGGAGGAGGAGGAGGUGGGGGUUGGAAAGCGGCCGCCCCUUCCACCCGAACCCGGAGUCUGACACCACUUGGAGAAGGGAAGACAUCAAUCGCUCCAUGAACACACAACGGAUCCACGCACCAGAUCUUAAUCCGAGCAGGGCCAACCUUGUCCAAAGACUCAAGAUCCACCUCCACAGGAUUCCCGAUCAGCACACCAAACGCCAUGAGAAACGCAGACGAGCGAAGCCCCGCUGGCAGAUCAUCCACCAACACCCAAACCUGAGACAAAGGGCCAACCGUCCUUCCACUGCAAGAGGCCGGCUUGACAGACACCACCAGCUGGUUGAGGGGGAGGGUAAAGCUCGUGCACGAAGCAAUCAUCCGCAGGCAGUCUUUGGAGGGGAAAACAACAGAGGACUCAAAGUCCGAAAUCUGAUUAACUUGCCAAUCCCAUCCCUCGACAUCCCAAAUCCGAAGCCCUUCCAGCAGAGUUUGAGGUGAGAUCUUUUGGUCUUUCACAGUAACAAUAGCAGCAUUAGAGAGGGAGGGCGCCGCCGUCAGGAUAGGAAGGUCACUGUCCAGGGCAAAGAAAGCACAUCCCGGGAGCCCCAAACCAAACUGGAUGACCGAUGUUGGUUUCAGGCGAUUCAUGCAGUUGACAGUAAGAUGCCCAUAAGAGCGGCAUAUGAGGCAGAACAAAGGGUUGGUACAUCUAGACUGAAAGUGCCCGGGCCUGUGGCAAGCGAAUCAGGUGAGCGCAGACGGAUUGCUAGGGGUGGAAGAAGGGGGACGGAUCUGCGGGAGGGAGGCGGGAGGUGGCAGGAGACCGUCCCCCACCCCCGACGAGGGAAAGGCACCAGGGAACGGACCAACCGGCGGACGCGCCGGCCCCGCAAAGGAUUGCGGCGGAGGACGAAGCCCCACACCCGCACCGGCCGGGCGAGGGGGAGGGGGGAUCCGAGCCGAAGCAGAUGCACCACGCCCCGCGCCAAGGGCCGGCAGAGAACCGGAGGAGGAGGAGGAGAUCCCCCACCAGCCGCUGCCGCCGCCUCCCAGGGAUCCACCGUUGGAGAGAGGGAGGCCCCAGAUCCGGACCCUUGCGGGCCAGAUCCAGACGCACGCUCCCGCUCCGAACGCUGGAGCCAAUCCGGGCCAGCAACCCAAGCCACGCGGUCGCGAGCCACCCGCUCACGAGCCGCCUGCUCCGCCUCCAACUUCGAGCGGAGCGAGGCCUCAAGCUCCAGAUCCGCAGCAGAACCCGACGAGUCCUCCCGCCGGCGCUUACUACCAGACACCGCCUCGCAGGACGAGCCCCGUGACUUAUCCGUGGAGAGCACAGAAGCGAAGGCGAGGAGGAGGGGAGGGGGAGGGCUAGAUCUGACGAGGCGGCGGAUGGGGAGCCGGUGGUGACGCAAAUCUGCAGCGGAAGCCGGAAACCCUAAUAGAGGGAGGAAGCACCACGGGUGACCCAUAUAUACCCGGACCGCGUCAUGCCCUCCAGGGCCCGACGGGCCAAGCAGGCCGAGGGGAGAGGGGGGGCAAAGCAGAAAGGGGCCGCACUGGGUCCACAGGGGGAGGGGGAAAUCGACACCAGAUGCCAGAUGGGGGUGGGCCGACAGGACACACCACAGCCGGGCGGCCCAACAGGCCCAACAGACGGGUCAGCCCGCGAGCCAAAGGUCAACGAAGAGGAGGCCAGAUCUAGGGCAAGCAGAGCCAGCGCCGCGGCCCGGCCUGGCGACGCCGCCGCCGGCGCCGGGGAGACCGAACCAGGCGCAGAGGAGGGGGAGAGGGGGCACGCCACACCCGGAGCGGCACCCAAAAUCCCAGGAGAAUGCGAACAGCGGGAGGCCUUACCAGAUUUUUGACGCUGACGAGACACCCGAAACCAGCCAUCAUCCGAAGGCAGCGACGACACCGGCCGACCCCGGCCCCCAGGAGCGAACUUGCGAAGGCGAGGAGCGGCGGCAAGGGGCGAGGCCCGCCCCGGGAGACACGGCGAAGGGCGGGGAGACGAAGCCUCGUCCGACGAGCCCUCCCCAUCGAGAUCGAGAGCCCAAAAGCGGGAGCCCAGCGAAGACGACGAAGGCACCGGAGAGCGCCCCUCAACCGAGCGAGCGGGAGAGGAACAACCAGACACAGGGGGGACGGGAGAGUCAGGGCCCAAAUUGGUGCCGGAGGGGCAGAGGGCGAUGGCGGAGGAGCCGGGGGAAGGAAGAGGCGGCGCAGGGAGAGAGGGAGCGAGAGGAGAGAACAGAGCCAUCCUCUGGGUCAACAUAUGGGCACCCUAUACUAUGUCAUCUUUCAGAUCAUCCUAUUUAAGAAGAUGAAUAUCUUCCAUGUCAACAGCUUUUCUAGCUGCACAAAAUUUAUUAAAAGAAAAAACUUUAAAACGCAUGCCUUCGUCUUAGCAAUUGGAUGGGUCCUUGCAUUUGCAUGUUCACCUUUGUCGUUUUUUUAUAGUUGCAUCAAACAACUCUGGUGAACUAUUUUGGAAAAAUGAGUUUCACGUCUCCAAGAUUUUAUUCGAAAAUAUCCAAAUACGCAAACUGGGAUCAACAAGGUUCAGUUUUCUCCAUUCAUUUUCUCCUUGCAAAAUCUUUUAUUAGUCACUAGCACAAAUGCCCGUGCGUUGCAACGGGAGAAAUUUUUAGAAUCCCGCUCUCAACGGACCCACAUGUCAUCUCCAACCUUUUCCCACAUCCUGUGAAGUUUUAUUUCAAAAGGCGAGGUGAUACUAAUUACUAAAGGAACCCUUCAUCUAACACAAUCAUCAUCUAGACCCGUUGGUUAGUUGUUAUGUCGUUCAGAGGCGAGGUGGGCUUUUGGUUCAUCUGGACUUUUUGUUCAAAUCUUGGAGGCCGAGUGCAACAGCCGCUACAAUAUGGAAUAGUCCCACCUCGUUGAACCGGCCAAAUUAACUGGAGAAAACAUACGAACUAAAAUAAUACGAUCAAAGCGGGACGAAACAUUACGUUGCUUUAUUAUAGUAUAUAGGUAUGUGUGUUGCUACGGGAGAAAACAAAAACUUGGUUAUGUCAAUAAAACAUACGGACGAAAGUAAUACGAUCAAAGCAUGACGAAACCAAGAAUAUUACCUUUUUUAUUAGUAGGUAGGUAUAUGUGUUGCAGCGGGAGGAAACAAAAAGUUGGUUAUGUCAAUAAAACAUUCUUAUGAACAUGUAAUCUAUAAAAUUUUCUGGUGAAUAAAAAUAUAAGAAAAGAGAAACUUAUCAAUUAUGUAUAUGCAGAAAAACGAUAUAUGGCCUGGAUAUGAUAAUUUAGAUUUCAAUCAGUACCCAAUUAAAAGGAGGGUAAAUUGCAAAAAGUUCACCUCUGUCAGCUCGCAAAGUUCAGCGAACCGAGAGUUUUGCCCACACCAUUCUCAUUGGGGCUAAUUUGAACAAACAUCAAAGUUUGGAGUCUCCACCUGCAGUGCCUUGUGCAUUAAUUCCAGCCAAUCAUUUGUUCCAUCCACGUACACAUAUGUAUCAACCAGCACCAUGCGCCAUUGUCGGAAGAAACUAAUUAAACAGAAGGGUUAGCUUGGAGACAUGGUUAAACUGCAAUUAUCUUAGUUGCAGGCAGCAUACAGAAAUAUGGGCGCCAAAGAAUAGCUCUCAUCUUGGCAGUCCUCGUGCUUGUAAUCUGUUGGGAACUAUUAAAAAGCAUGUGAACACACCAGGGAAACAUCAAAGCAGGUUAUUUCAUAUUUUUAUUCUGCGUACCUGAUCUACUGAUCAUCAUCACGCCAUGUAACUUGGUUCCAAUAUGAGUUCAGGUGAGGACACCUCCAUUAGCCCGAAGAUAAAGACAGCCAAAGCAAUUAACAUAGAAAGCUUGUAUCUGGUAGCCAAGCGAGACCUGCAGGAGCAUCGAGGUGCAUGGAUUGAUCAAGAAGUUAGGGGCGUGUUGACGUCGGCGGCGUUGGGGCCAUAUGCCUGAGUACCUCUCCGACUUACUUUACAAUGCAAUUCUUCGCCGGCUGGUGCUUAUGGCCCAGAGAAAUCAACAUGUACAAGCUAGCCUAGCUAAGCUAACACGCUGGUGGAUGGAUUCUUCAGAGGAUAACUACGUACAAGCAGACACUGGUGGAUGGAUCGAUCCCAUUGUACGCUACCAGGCUAGAGCUAGCCGAUGGCUUCUCGCCCGAUGGAAACAAACAGACCAAGUCUCGCUGAGACACGCACGCGACCCACGGAAUUAUGGCAACUGCUGUCGGCGUGCUAUGCCUACAAGGAAGUGUGCAUGUUGUAAUCGAAAGCGGCGAAGCAGGCCUUCAAGCCCGAGGGUCAGCGUCGAGGAAGACAAUGCGGUGAUUUAGGCUGCAAAUUUAGCUGCCGCAAAAUCCUUUCUCCGAUGAUUUUAAUUAGUGCUUUAUACUGGAUAUAGACAUCACAAAGUCAGAACAUGCCUUUUUAGAGAUGAACCAUAUAAUAAUAUAUUACACUAAAAGAUUGAUAUGCACGCAAGGAUUGUUUAAAGGGAAACGAUUGGGGCCGGCGCACCGGCCGAACCACUCGGCCGGUCGCGCGCGACCUGUGCGAUCCCCUUUUCAUCGGCCCACAAAUUGCUCGCCAUUAACGCCCCACGCGGCUGCGCUGCUUCCUCUCUCUCUAUUUCAUCUCGCCGGUCUCUAUCUCAGUUGGCCGUCGCCGUUCGCCGCCCCCGCCGGCCGUCCUCAUCGCCGGUGGCCACCCGCGCCGGCCGUCCCCGUCGCCGUUCGCCGUCCUCGCUCGCCGGCCCCGGCGGAAGCUGGAACCGCGUCGUGGCCUGCUGCAACCCGUGCCCAGGAGAGCUGCCAUCAUGGAUGGCGAGCAUGGUGAACGGCGAGCUGCGAGGACGGCGGCGCUCGCGUUGCAGACAUGGCGGAGGCAUUGCAGAACCUGCCGCACGCCCUCAUGCUACAACCGUUUAACCAAAAUGCUUCAAACCAAGAUGAAAAAAGCUUCAACCAGAUACAUCAAAAGCUGCAAGCAGUCAUUGCCAUGGCGGAGUGCUACAACCGUCGACAUAAAAUGCUACAACCCUUGAUGAAAAAGCUUCAACCCGAAACGAUAGAGAAAGCAUUAACCAAGGCUGCUACAAAGAAAAAAGCUGCAACCAUUUGAUAGAAAAGCUUCGACCGUAGAUGAAAAAAGCUUCAACCAGAUACAUCAAAAGCUGCAAGCAGUCAUUGCCAUGGCGGAGUGCUACAACCGUCGACAUAAAAUGCUACAACCCUUGAUAAAAAAGCUUCAACCCGAAACGAUAGAGAAAGCAUUAACCAAGGCUGUUUACAAGAAAAAAGCUGCAACCAUUUGAUAGAAAAGCUUCGACCCUAGAUGAAAAAAGCUACAACCAUUGAAAAAGAAAGCUACAAACAUACACUGCAUAACCAGAAAAGUUGCAUCCGUUGUAGAGAAAGCUUCAAUCAUAUGUGCGAAAUGCUUCAACCUGCGCGUGUCGCCACCGAGCCGCAAUCACAGUGGUUGGCUGGCGGCCGUCGCCGACGCAAUUUCCUGCAGCCAUGAGCAUCAACGGCGAGGGGCGGCAGCGGAGCUAUAACCGGGGAGAGCUAUAAGCGUCGCCGCUGCAAGCUGCAACCAGAAGAUGAUAGUUGGAAGCGGCGAUGGGGACGGGGCGGCGAGGGUUGGAAGCGGCGACGGGGACGGGCGGCGAGGGUUGGAAGCGGCGGCGGAGACGGGCGGCGAGGGUGUGGACGGGCGGCGGGGAUAGAAGACGCGGCGCGGCGCAGCCCAAGCGAGGGGAUCGUGCCGAGGAAGAAGAAGCUGGGGGCGAGUUUUUUUUUUGCUCCAGAUCCAACCGCGCACGCCUCGCAUCGAACGGCUAGGGCUGGACCGGCCGAACGUUUCGGCCGGUGCGCCGGCGCCUAGCAUCGCCCUUGUUUAAAGCUUUAUCACUUUAUGAAGGAUUGUUUAAAAGCUUUAUCACUGUAAGAUGCAACGCUAGCUUUUUAGUUCCUCACUGAUACCUUCCAUUGAACCAGAGCAUUUGCAGCAGGUUGUAGCCAACAAGCUCGUUUUCUUCCCCUGUAUCUAUCUUCCGAUCUGAUCAACAUCUGACUUGAUUAUUCACUGGGUCACCUCUCUGUUUGUAGUUUAUAUUGACCAAGCAAAGGGCAUAUUAGAUGCCAUUCACGGAGCUUCAAAGUGAAGGUAGGGCCAGCGGUUGAUGGGGAGAGAGAGCGCACAAGCUGUAGGUGCCCCAGCCCCUCAACGGGGCCGCAAGGAUCAAGGAUCGAGCCGCUGCUGCACCCCUGUUGCCGGUGAAGGAGGUAGUACGAGCACAUGGCCGCACGCUGCUGCUGGAUCUUGCCUCCAUGGAUCAGAAGAGAUAGUAGGCACAGACGACCCUGAGCCAUGACCAAUACUCCAAUAGCACCCAUCAUGGCUCGGGACGACGACCACCCUCAUUGGUCCUGUACCCGAGAGCGACACACGCGGGGCCGCGGGCGGACAAAUCUUCAUCUAGUCCGUCGCUUGACCUCAGCGGCACCUCUCAUGAACCUACCUCGCCAGAAUCCUCGGCGACCACGCCUCGACGACGACGGGUUAGAUCGAGGGAUCAACUUUGUUUUAUAGUAGCGGUUUUCUUUUCUUUAGAAAAAUAGUUGUGGUUUCCUUUUUAGGAGAAUACGGGUGGUUUCCUAGUUGUAUAGGAUACCGACGCUAUGACUUUCAACUCAGCACGUUACAUGGUGUGAUGGUAAGCCAUGUAUUCUAUAUUCUGUAUAGGUCUCGCGUUCGACUCCCCAAGUUUCACUCCUCGUGUUUUCUCGGCCCAUAAGCGAAGCUAGCGUUCGCGUGACCCAGUGCUGCAGCCGUUCGACGGGAACUUGCGGCCCAUAAUUCGCGUGCUAGCAGCCGUUCGGUGAACUUGCGGCCCAUAAUUCGCGUGGUCCAGUGCUAGCGAUGGACAAAAUUUAGUACCACCUCGAAUAUGUUUUAAAUUUAAACUGAAAGCGUAAAAUCACGGGAAGAAAGCGUAUUGUGACGGUGAAUCCGACAAACUCAAUCCGUGCUUUAUUUAUUAUUAUUAUUAUUAUUAUUAUUAUUAUUAUUAUUAUUAUUAUUAUUAUUAGGGAGAGAUAUCGAACAAAGCUAGUUACCAGCACAAGAUAAGAUUCAAAACAAAAGACAACUUGGUGCCAAAUUGGCAGCUACCCUUCUACCCAAUGGAUAGUCAGAGCGCCCAGCACAAAGUGGCCAUUCGAGAAGCACGGUCCUAUCCCUACCAGGUUGUUGUCGUGCUCCAUGUCGUUCGUCUUGUCGAUAUGGCCAUCCCUAGUGGUGAGUCUAACAAGAGGUGUGUAUGCUGUUGGAGGAGCCCCCGGUGCAGUCUGAAGGCACAUAUGCUAGUGGGUGAUUCGUCCUCUGUCCACUAAUACCCUGGAUAAAUUAUUUGAUAAACAUUGCCUUUUGUGUCCCACAACAUCAGUUGGAUGGAUGCGAUCUCCAUUUUUACAAUUUGUGACUGGACACAAACUCACGGCUUACAUACGACCUUUCUUUGAGAUAAUUUCACGCAUUGUACAUGGCUAAGAUAUAAAAAUUAUUUUUAGUAAUGUCUUCUCUUGUGUCAAUAUCUGGGUGCCUUAAUUAAGUGUUGAACAUGUAUUGGUGUUGGUGGUAUUUCUAUUGUUCUUAACUCUAUUAUCAAAUCAGAACAGAGCAUUUAAUUGGUAACUUAACUUCAAUGAAACUUAUUAUAAUAUAUAUCUUACCCUUUAAGUUAAAUUAUCGAUGUGUCAAGACUUACGUGUUGGUGCAGAGGCCGGGUGUAAUUGGUAUCUUCGUGAUAUUAAUAUAUUCCCUUUAUCGAAAAAAAAUCUCUAUAGGUCAAAAAUCAAGGGCAUAUGUAACUGCUAUGUUUUUUUAAUGGUCCGGUUUAGGCGGGCUUCAUUGAUUUAGGAGAAAGCAAGCGGGAAACAAUGGGGAUCAAGUGAUCAAGGGCACGAAAAACACGUGCUAAAAGAAGAGAAAAAUUAAAAAUGGAGGAGGAGAGGGGAGUGAUUAAUUAUCUAGCAACAUCUUCCUCAAAAGGGCGCUCAAGACAAGUUGCACCCGCCAGCCUCCAUUGCUCAAGAUCAUUGUUUAUGGCUCACAGGACGUUACUGACCCUUGGCAGCUUUGAUGUGAAGAUGUAGGCAUUCCUCGCUUUUCAAAUUUCCCAGGAAAUCAACAUUAGCAUUGAUUUGAACCCCCUUUUGAACCUUCAGGGAGUCAAGCUGAUCAUCCUUUGGCAGUGUUUGAGGGAGUAGUGGUGUGCCUCCCGCCGUUGCUUCAUGGUCGUGUAGCCAACCCAGGUCGAGGCCUUCUGCUAGAUUGACGAAGAGAAGGGGCAGUCCCACAGAAGGUGCCUCGAGGACUCCGGGCUUCUCACGCAAAGGGGGCAGAAAUAGCCAUUUGGCCACCCACGCCGUUGCAGUCGACCAUUACACCACAACCUAUCGUGGUGCAACAGCCAAGCGAACUUCUUGGCACUACCGGGGGCCCAGGCCUUCCAGAUGACUGCGUUGUGGCUCGAGGAUGGGGCGGACUGAAAUUGUAGUCCAUAACCAAUGCUUGUUGAAUAAGAGUCUCCACCACCGGCCACCCAUUAGAUUUGAUCCAUUGUUGAAAAGAUUUGGGUAGGUGCUGCAUAGCGGCGCCGAUCCCAGCCAUGAACUCUUCGAGAAGCUUGCCAAUCAGCUGCUGCCAAUGUUGACUGUCGUGGCCUUCGUGAACAACUCCUGGUCACGUUGAUCACAUAGCAGAGGAAAAUCCAUCCACGGCGUUUGCGGCUGCUGCCAAGUGAGCCAUACCCAGCGUAAUCGGAGGGCGGUACUGAAGCGCUGCAGAUCCAGGAUAUCGAGUCCUCCCUUGGCAAUCGGCGAGCAAACUUUACUCCAAGACGACUUUGCAUUUGCCACGAGACACCACUUCAUCCUGGGUCCAGAGAAACCGCCGCCGCGCCUUGUCAACCCCUUUUAAAAUUUUCUUAGGCACCUUGAGCACUGUUAGAGCAAACGUGAGGAGAGCAGUGAGCACUUCCCGCACGAGCACCCUAUGGCCGGCUAGGCUCAUCAGUUUUCCCUUCCAUCCUUCCAGGAGCGAUCUAACUCUUUCGAUGAUGAACUAGAAAUGCACCAUGCGCAAUCUAUUUAGCGAGAUCGGCAGCACUAGGUAUGUUGUGCGAAAAUCUGCUAUCUAACCAUCGAACUCCUGUAGCACUUCCGACAACGGCAAGCCCGCGCAGUUUAUAAGUAUCACCGAUGGUUUUACUUGGUUUAGCUUGAGCCCCGUUGCAUGGAACGCUGCUCCACCGCAGAUGUCGUCCAUUGGUCCCUCAAGCGUAUGCAUACCUCCAAGAAUGAUGCCCCCAAGAGGGAUACGGCACAAGAGCACCACCGUCAUCCGAUCGACCGGUCUAGAGUUUUCGCCGAAGGUGGCGGAUACGGGUCUAGAGCUUCUCCACGACAAGAGUUGUUUUACGGUACCCUCAAACAAAUAUAAGCCGUCCAUUUGUUCUGAUCUGAUAGAUAGGAUUGUUUGACACUCCAGUAUAUAGAUGCCUUGGGGUACUACCGUUAAAAGUUGGGGAGUACCACCACUUUGAGGGUAAUUUGGUAAUCUACGACUAGAUCAUUAAUUCUCCACUAUUUAAGGGAUAAAACCAACCUGCAGGCGGCGAUUAAGCUGGCGACCGAACCUUGAUUCACGGGAUGCAUAGAGAAGGACCUCUUCAUCACAUCCCAAAAACAAAAUCAAUAGAUCAGAUCUCAAAAGAGAUAAAACGUGAUGGAACUAUUAAUAAUUACGUGAUUUUGGAAUUGGAAACCUGAACUGAUUGCUUGACAACACUAGGAACAUAGGUGCAUGCAAUGCGUAGAUCCAGCGAUGGGCCGGGUCGCCGGCGGCUAAGUUGCCAAAACUUCAUGCAUGUGCGUGAGGGCCUGGGGACGGCUCCACCGGGAGGAUGCGGCAAGCCGGCAACCUCAUAGUGCACGAUCAGAGGCGGCGGGCGUGCGCUUCAUCGGAUGAGUUUUUUUUAGCUGAUCGGAUUAGGAAAUUAGAUCACGGGAAUAUCUCAAUAUUAUACCUAAAUCAAGGAAACAAAAAGUCUAAAGUGCCCUCUCAAAUCAACGGUCAGAUUUUGUUGGUACUCCCAUCUCUAUCUAUGGAGUACCAGGGUGCUGUAAAAAACCUCAUGCGUAUAGGCAAGGAAAAAAGAAAAAAGAAUCCAAAGAAACCGAUCUGGAUCAACAAACUAUAACAAUGACCAUAUCUGGACCGACCAUCUUAUGACACCACACGAACAAUGAGGUUCUUCAAUAGCAACGCUUCAGGAAGGGAGCAACACUCGAAUGCCACCGUCACCGGAUCAAGCCACCUAAGGCUAAAUCUAAGGUUUUCACCCAGAAGAAUCAGUCCGAGCAUUCCGGACAAUGCCUUCAACAAGGUAAUGAAGUAAAAACAUCUCCAUUGCCAGGUGUACCCAACUCGGGCCAGACUUAGGCUUUCACCCUGAAACUCAAGACCGGGUGCUCAAGUAUAACCUAUCAAAGUCAUUCAUGUGUUGUCGCCACCACUUUUUCACAAUCCUAGCAGCUACAUGCGGUGUGACCACCGCCGCCGCACAACCAUCCCUCUGCAUGAAGACUUUGUCCAUAGUUUGCAUCUCGCCGCCGAAGUCAACUACCGGAUCUUUGAAGAUGAACUCUCAGAAAAUCUUUUGAUGGUGACCAUGAUCCACAGCGAGGCAGCCGUUGUCCUGGAUCCAAUUCCCGGUGACCCAAUCAGAAGCGAGAAAGCAGAUCUGCCAACUCCACCUAGCCGUGAAGACCCGGCCAUGCCGCUGCCCGCCAAGACCUAGGUGACCAAGCAGCCAUGACCAUGUCCAUGUGGUGCAACUAGCCGGCAGCCUGGACGGCCGUCGAGCAUCUACACGCAUGUGCACCUCUGAAGCAGCCGUGUGGAUGCAUCCAGGAACCAGCCCUGCACGUACUCUAGGCCAUGGACUUCAUCCAGAUCGGAAGGCCGGAAUCACCAAGUAGGUACCAGAUCGGGAAGCCUGCGGCCAGAUCGGAAGGCGACCACCAAGGGGAAGAACGGAAAGAGGUCGGAGAUGCCCCGCCGCCGCCGCCGCCCACCGGGCGGCUAGCCUCCUCUAGCGGCGGCGUGGUGAACGGCGCUGCGCGGGAGGGCCUCCGAAGGUGGCCGAGGCGGCGCCUUCGGAAUCGGCUGAAGCGACCCGGGAGGCGGGGGAGGGCCUCCGAAGGUGUUUUCUCUAUGUGUUCGGGUACGGGGAUAAAGAUGACCUGAUUAGAUUCUAAUCGGUUUAGAUUUUAGAGUUCUAUUCGUAUACGUCAAGUACUGCCUUGUAUACAUCAAAGUCCAGUUAUAUAUAAAGCCAUGGCCGAUUAAAAAAACAAUCGAUCUACUUCAAUAUAAAUACAUUACUUUUUAUCGUUCGUUUCUUUCUGUAGUUUCUUCCUGCUGAGCCCUAGGAGCCCAAGGGUUUGGUGAUCUUUGCAGUUUUGCACUGACAAACGGUUUGUUUUCCUUCACGAAAGCGAGGGAUUUUUUAUUGCUUUGCCCGAAAAGCAAUUGUUCGUCGUCACGAAAGCAUGACAAAUAUCAUGGUGUUGUGCUGCGAUUUUACGUGCCAACACACUUGACGAAUCCGCUGGGGACGAAGAAGAAUGACAUACACACGAUGGACACCGAACCCAAGAACGGAAGCGACUUCAACCGGGACAACACCAUCGCCGUCACGCUCGACGAUUUGUCAGAGGAUGAUCGGCGCGAGCUUGAACAAGAGGUUGAGAAGGAGAUGGCUGAGCGGCUAGAACUGAAGUUGACUGGAUACUACAAGACAAGGAUCGGCAUCGUCAAGAAGGUACAUGUGUCGAACCCUUCUGAUUCGAUCAACACCGAAGUAAAAUAGUCUACUUAAAAAUUUCUCAUCUAAUUGAUGUGUGUGUAGCUAAUAAGUACGAUUCUGAUGUGAAAGCUAUGACACACACAAGUACUCAAUCGUAGCUAAUAGAAUUGAAGAAUUUAAGGGGCGACUCAUCUUGAAAAUAAUUUACUUGGUCAUGUCCGUUCGUUAGUGCUGCAAAACGAUGAGUAUCCUGAGUAAAGGCCGAUGGAGAAUAGUGGCUUCAUUAACUUUCCUAGUAAUAUUCAUACAGCUGAUGCAUCGGCUAAUAACGUUGUGCAGCCCCAUGUCCCUUUAAGUAGCUAUCAAGGUGGCCAGAACUAUGUGAGCAGUUCAGCUAAUAAUUUUAUGCCUAGCAUAGCUGCUCCUAUUGUCUCAACUUCAGUUCGACAAAAUCACAACAGCAAUAAUGGAAGUGCUAGUUCUAAUUCUAGCUUGCACCAACCUAUUUAUUAGGAAAUAGCUAUAAUAUACCACUCCUACUGUCUAUCGGUACCGGCAUUCUGUACGGGCCGGUAACCAAUUCAUAUUUUAGUGGGUCUUCCUUGCAAGAAUCACAUGCUCAAAUUUCUUUGUCAGGGUUUUAACCACGUGCUAGCACUCCAUCUGCUUCACAAACUAGUUCUCUACAGCUGAAUGAUAGUUUUAAGGAUAAGCUUGAUAAUAUACUUAGAGAAUAGGUUUAUAACCUAAGGGUAAAGCAUGUGCAUAUAAAAAAACCAUACCCUAAUUACUUUGAUUUGAUGGCAUAUCCUCGUGGUUUUACUAUUCUAGAUUUUUUUUAGGUUUAAAGGGUAAGAUGGUAGAUCCACUUUCGAGCAUGUCAGACAAUUUUUAGCCCAAUGUUGUGAUAUCGGCCCAUCAGAUGUUUAUAGGAUAAAUUAUUUUUGUUGCCUUUGUCCGGUACUGCAUUUACUUGGUUUACAUCGCCUACUCCUAAUUCUAUUGCAACAUGGGCGCAACUGGAGCAAAACUUUCAUGAAUAUUUUUAUUGUGGUGAAACUGAACUUCAACUUUCAGAUUUAACUAUGGUUAGGCAAAAAUAUAAUGAGCAUGUUUAUGAUUAUAUUAAGCGGUUUAGAGAUGUCAAAAAACCAAUAUUUUAGCUUGACCAUAGCCGAAAAGGAUUUAGCCGAUCUUGCCUUUUCGGGCCUGCUUGCUCAUAUUAAGGAUAAAUUAGAAGGAUACAAAUUUUUAGAUGUUGAUCAAGUUUUGCAAAAAGCUUUGGCGCUGGAAAACUGGACUAAGGAGAAUAAACAAUAUAGCCGUUUUAAACAUUGUUUGACACAAAAAAGGAAAAAGACAUCGCUCAUAAAAAGAAUAGGGGGUUUCGUAUGAGCGUCUCCCUUUGCGCCGAGGAACAAAAAGUUGCGGGCGUGCCAGUGUACAAAGUACACAAAUACAAGAAGAAGAAAAUGUGUGGGGCCUGCUGGCGCGGCCAAAGUGAUCAAGCGAUCAUGGUCUCCUGGUUCCCGGGGGCCUCGGAAAGCCCCCGGUUAAUUACUCCCGCGGAUAGUACCGCGGGACACCUCAGCUACGCAGUCAUCGUCUUCAAUCUUCGCUUCGCGCAUUCCUCAUGCAUGGUGGUGGUAUGUGUAUGGCGGCGGCAAAGUCCAUGUACUGAGUGGUACACGCGCCGUCGAAAAUGUGGCCUUUGCUCCGGCCACGCCCGCCAACGUCGUCUUGCCUCGUCGGCCUUGAGCGGCGUCAAUGUGGUUUGUUGAAGUAGCAUGCAUGUUUGGGCUUGGCUUGGACGUCGUUGAUGACAUUGUAGAUUCGCCGGGAGUGCGAGGGGUAUGCCCCGCAGGAGUAGAUGUCGAAAGGAGAAGGAGUGGCUGGACAUGCGACACAUGGUGUGCACACAUCCAUCGAUGACCGCAUACACCGCCGCCAACGGCGGAGGAAGUCGCCACCUUGCACCGCUAGGCACGGCCGGCGAUGGCACAAGAGCUGCACGCCGCCGACACGGAGUGCCGGACCGGGAGCCGCUAGACAUGAGCGGACCCCGACACGUGUGACACGUGUUCGUGCUGUCGAAGAGGGAGGCCGUAAGAUACAACUAAGCGUGUCCCGACCGAAACCGGAUGAUGUCUCCGCCGCCAUAGUUACGACGAGUCAUCGUGACUCGUCAAGAGCCACGCCGCCUCCAUGGUUACGACAAGUCGUCGUGACUCAUCGAGGGCCGCACCGCCACCGAUGCGUCGAGCCAACAACGUCGCCGAGUCCCGGCCAGCCCAUGGCGCCUCCAUGGACCGGCGAGACAGCGGUGCAGGAGACCUCGCGAUGCGGUGGAGCCUCGCCCAGGCGCCGCCGAUGGUGUAGGUAGAAGGGGUGGCGCACUUGAUGGCGCCGAGUCGAACGAUGCGUGUCGACGAGUUCCGACCAGCCCAUGGCGCCUCCAUGAACCGGUGAGACGGGGCGAGUACGACCUCGCGAUGCGGCGGUGUCUCGCCUUGGCGCCGCCGAUGGUGUAAGUAGAAGGAGGUGCGCCGAGUCAAACGAUGCGAGUCGACGAGUCCCGACCAGCCCAUGGUGCCUCCAUGGACUGGUGAAGAGGGGCGAGUACGACCUCGCGAUGCGGCGGUGCCUCGCCUUGGCGCCACCGCCGGUGUAAGUAGAAGGGGUGGCACACUAGAUGGCGUGAGUCGACCAAUGCCACUACAAGAAUCCUGUUAAUCCAUGACGGCUACAAUCCGUCACAGGCAUGUGCAAAACUGUCACCGAAGCGCAGCGAUGAUGGAUUUGAAAUAUGUCAUGUAUAUCGCGUCAUAAUUGAUGAUUGUACACUCCGUGACGGAUUUUGUCCGUCGUGAAUUGCACCUAACUGAAGUGCUUAUAACGACGUUAACUUGUAUGCCACAUCAUCUGCUGACAUGGAAUUACGUGGCAGCCCAUUAACUUAGUGGCCCAGUUGGAAUUUAAGCCCACUAAACUUUAGCUCUGUCUAAGAAUCAAUGGCCCAAUUAAAAUUUCAGCCCACUAAAUUUCAGGUCCAUCUAAGACUCAAUGGCCCAGUUAAAAUUUCAGCCCACUAAAUUUCAGCUCUGUUAGGAUACACGGCCCAUGUAGUAAUCAACCGAAUUGGAAAUUCAUUUCAUUAAAUUUCAAGGUCAGUCCAAGGCCCACUGAUGUCAAGCCGAGAGAUUAGCCCAUCUCACAAAAAAACAAUAGCCAAUAUUUAUUUUCCAAAAAAAUAUGGUACAGUAUAAUAAACGAUAAACACAUGACAACACAACACUUUAUUAUUAUACAAAUGAAAGAAAGACAACAACACUUUACAGAUCAGGUAAAAAAACGGUUUACAGAUAACUCCGAAUAAUAUUGUAGCAUAUAUCCCAGAUAUUCAAUCUACAACAUGUCCCAGAUAUUCUGGGGCGGAGCCUUCAAAAAAGAUAUUCUCCAGUGGAGAACAGCGCCGACGUCAGAGACGCCAUAUCUACCACCAUAUUGACCCUACCCAUGCUCCUGAGUAGCCGAUCUCCAGCGACGAGAACAUGCAAUAGUUGUUGCCUGCACGUAUACAACCAAAUACUAUCUAAAAAAUUCUGAAAUAAAAACCCGCAAAAAAUCAGAAAUAAAACACAGUGAACUCGAAACGGUGAGGCAACCGACUGACAUCCCGCUGGGUCGAGGCCUCGAGGGACAAGCUGGGGGUGAGGACGCCGUCUGCGACGGACGCCAUUGAAGAAGGGACGACAGCAUCCCAGCACAACGGAGCCGCCUCAGCCAGGCGCCUGUAGAGUGCCGACUCGAUGCGGCUCGCUUGGUGCCUCAGCGCGGCAGCAUCGGACAGAGAUGGGCGGCCUGAACCGUGGCUGUGUUGCUGCCUUCCUAACCUGCACAUGACGAGAGGUGAGAUUAGUGAAAGAAUCCGGCGAUUAAGAGCAUGCGGCUGGGCGGGUUGCCGCUCAUGUACCGAUUGCGAUUGGGACAUAUCCUGCCAUAUCGAGCACGCAUCCAGAACAACGCUUACCAGCGACAGCUGCCUCUGCCGCGGCUCAACGAACCAUCUCGCUAGCGCCAUAUCCUGCCGUCCGCCGCCGCUCGGACAGUGGAGUCAUCGCUUCCCUUCGCGUUCGGUGGCAACGCCCACCACGACGCAGCUCCCCGGGGACGAGUCGGUGCGGCCCCCCGAAAUCCAGGCGCACACCACCGCACGGUGUGGGUCGGCCUGGACGUCGCGGCGUCGAUACUUGCCCCAGUGUGGACUCGGAGCCGAGAGAAGCAGCUAGGAGGGGACGGAAGGCAGCGACUGGAGAAGGAGAUGGAGAAAGGAAGGCACUGGAUGCCGGCGGCUGUGGGGUGGGGAAGUAAGAAGAGAUGGAUCGGUAAUUAGGGAUUGUGUGCCAACCAUUGGAUCUCAGGAAAUCGAACGGUGGAGAAGCUUGAUCCAUGUGCGGGUAGGCUCAGCCAAUCAAAACGCACGGUUUGCCUCACGCAGGAUCGCCCCCCUCAGCCGAGAACCAUAUGGGCUUUUGCUGAUUCCAGCCCAGUGUGAGUGAGGCCGCCCAGAUUUCGAACUUUUUAUAUUAUUCAAAUAACUAAUAAAGCCACCUUUGUCUCAAAACAAAAACCUUUGUCAAGUAACUUGCAAACAAUUAUCUUAUAUAUCCCAAUAUAAAAAAUACAUGUGAUAUAAAAAAUGUUAUUUCAAAAAAUCAAGAACCCCAAGUUUGUGCUCGAUACUUGCCAUGUCGAUCCUUGGAAUUUCUUUCCGUUCCUUUGAUAGGGCCUAAACAUAGAGUGAGGAAGAAAAAUAUGAUUUUUAAACCCUUUUUCAUAUUUUAAAGUAAUUGUAAAUAGGAUAUACUCCCUCCGUCCGAAAAAAGCUUGUCCCUCAAAUGUAUCUACAUCCAUUUGAGGGACUCUACAUCCUUUUGAGGGACAAGCUUUUUCGAACGGAUGUACUACCUAUCAAAUGCUUAGAAAAUGAAGUAAAUGACUUUGAAAUAGCAAAUGAACCCUGGAAAAUGCGAAAAGUUAGCAUAUGAUAUGUGAUGGUGCAUGUUAGGUGUCCAAAAAGUUUCAAGGCCAAAGGAUUAAGCAAAUAUCACUUCUCCUUCAAACCCAACGCAUUAUCUCUGGAGAUCAUGAUUCCUCCUUGUAGAUUGUUCGACUUCAAAGGAGUGCGCAUGAUUUUGUUGUGAAAUAUUUUCAAUUAAUUUACCAAAAAAUCUAGAUGCCAUAUCAUGACACCAUGCGAGAUUCCAUAUUUUUCAAACUUUGUUCGCAUUUUUCCUAAAUUUAAACUACUUUUCUUGCUAUCAUGUGUUCUUUAAGUUCGUUUAUGAAUUUCACUUGAAUAUAGCAAAUGAGCUAUAAAAUGCGAAUUUUUUACAUGUUAUGUUUAGUGGUGUAUGUUGAGUAUAAAAAACGUUUCACGACCAACUGAUGAAGCAGUGGUCACUUCGCCCCUAAAUCCGCCUUAUUCCUUCUGAAAAGCUAGAUUUUUUUCUCAAAGAUGGCUCUGUUUCUAAACAAUCAACGUGAAAAGUUGUGCGAAACAUUCUAAUUUUUUAACCACGGCCUCUAGGGGCAUAUAAUGACACCAUGACAAGUUUUGUAUUUUUCUAGCUUUGUUUGAAUUUGUUAGAAUCAAAUAAGCACUAAGCACUAUGUUGCUGCUCGAGUCCUCGCCCCAUCUUGUUUGGAACUAAUUCUAUUUCCUUACAUAUGGCAUAAUCCUACAGUAAAGACCACCAGUAAGAUCUUUCAACCCAUUUCUGAAAACUAUUUCAUGUGUUUUCAACUUAAAUUUCAAUUGUAUCCAUUAAAUUCCUAGAUAUGCACUUAAUGACUUAAAUAUAUCAAAAAGGUCUUAAAAUGCCAAAAAAAUGACAUGGUACGUUUAGUGUUGUAUGUUGAGCGUUGAAAGAGUUUCAAGGCCAAUUAAUGAAGCAGGUUUCAAGGUUGACAUUUAUUUUUCUGUUAAAUAUUUUCCCAUUCAAAUAAUAAAUGUAAGAAAAAAAAAUAUUUUUUCCAUGAAGUGUAAGGAAAGUGUUUGUGCAUUUGAAAAUAUGUUCAUAAUGCUUUUGAAAAAUACAGUUCCUGAAUUAUUUAUUAGUACACAAUUUUUUAAUACAGAUUUUCAAUUGUUCCAUAAUUUUUUUUUAGAAAAAUACAAUGAAUAUAAACAAUAGGUAUGCGCGCACGUGUGUGCACGUGUGGUCUUCAAUGAAUGUAUGUAUUGUUUUUAAAAGUUCAUGUUUACCUCUUAUUUUCUAAAAGCACAUUGAACAUUAUUGAAAAUACAUACAGUUAAUGAAUUAAAUAAAGCUGACGAACCCCCAAAAAUGCCAAAUGUUGACAUAGAACACGUGGUGAUAUACGUUGAGCGUGGAACGAAUUCAAGGUCAAACGAUCAAUAACCGACACUUUGCUUUCAAACCAGAGCCGUUCCUUCUCAAAAUCACAAUUCUUUCUCAGAAAUGUUUCGGCUUCCAAGCAAUGUACAUCACAUAUUUUGCGAGUAAAAUCACUCUUGCAUUUCAAGAAACAUGUUGAUAUUUUAUACAAGUUAAGCUAUAUUAGUACAUUUCAAGAAUUCAUUAUUAAUGUUCUAAUAUAAGUUUUAAUACACAUUGUCAAAUUUUUUAAUAUUUGUGUAUUUUAAAAAUUACAAUGCAUAUACAUAAUAAUUGUGUGUGCUUGUGGUCGAAAUGAAUAUACAUCUUUUUUAUACAUAAUAAUUGUGGGUGCUGUGUAAGGCGAGCUAUGCUGUCAGUUAACUCGAUCUACAAAAGGCGAAACUAGCCAACAGAACUAGUGAGCUCAACUGAUUGAUUCACGGCGCGAAACUUUAAGUACUGAACUUCCUUUGAAAAUAUCGAAUACAAUACAUUGAACAUUUUGUAAAUAUCCGUUGAACAAUUUCUUAAUAUAAAAUGGAUAAUUUAAAUUAUACACAAUGAACAUUUUUUAAUAUAUGAUGAACAUUUUGGAAAAAGCAUAAAUAUAUGUGUUGAACAAUUUUCGAAAAUGCAUUGAACAUUUGUAAUAUACGUUGAACAACUUUUGAAUACACAUUGAACAUUUGUGUAAUAUAACACUGAACACAAUUUCAAAAACAUAGGGAAUACUUUAUAUUCAUUAAACAUUUCUAAAUAUAUGAUGAAUAUUUUAUAAUGCAUGAUGAACUUUUCGUAAUACACCAUGAACAUUUCCUAAAUGUAAAAUCAACAUUUUGGUAACACGCAAUGAAAUUUGUAAAAAUAGGGAAAAAAGAAACAGUAAAAAGAGUAAAUAAAUCAUUAAAACGGAAAAAUAAUAUAAAAAAGAAAUAGAAACAUAAAAGAAAAAUAAAAACGAAAAUAAAAAAGAACCAGAAAAGAAAAACCGAAAAGAAAAAAAAAGCGAACAAAAAAACUGAAGCAGCAACGCGCAGCACCCCAACUGGGCCGGCCCACCCGCGGGCGCUGCGGGCGUUUCCUCGACGAUUUGCCGCUCGCGAGCGGCAAAUAGGAAUUGCCCAUGCUGACCUGCCACCUGGUUGUGGGGUGUAGCGGAAGCAUAGGCACGGCCGUGUAAUUAUCUCGGUCCAACCGCUGCUCCCAUGCGCUAUUUUUUUACGUAUGAGUGCAAUAUACACUACUCCCAUGGGGAGUAUAUCUUAUAAAUUUUGUACCAUACGAACAGUAGGAGUACAACUUAUUACAUAUAGAAGUGAGGAGACCCUCGUCCGUGUAAUUUUGUUGGUCUGGCCCCUGCCCCAUGCGCUAUUUUUUAUCUUAUAUAAAUUUUGUAUUGUAUGAAUACUACUACAUUUUGCUAAAACAAAUGAAUAAUAUUACGGGAGCGGCGUUUUAGGUGAACAGUACCCCCCAAAAAUGAGUAAAUAUUUUUUAAAAUUUUUGAAAAAAAUUGGAGAGCAGCGGUGUCGUAAGCAUGCUUGACAAUUUUCAUGUGGAACAGAGCAGCGGUGUUUCGUCAAUGAAAAAAAUUGGGGUUGUCAUUUUAUGGUGACAUUUUGUCUUUGGUUUUUUUUUUGCGCAUGCAAAAAUGCUUAAACUUUUUGCCUCAAAAUUUACAGGUGGCAUUUGUGGGAUGUCUCAAUUUUUUUGACAUUUGGAAAAGAUGGCCAAUCAAAUUUCCCUAAUAUUACUACAUAUAGAAGUGAAAAUGUCCAAAUCGUAUUAAAUUUGGGCAUUUAACCUACUGGCAAAUAUUUUGCCUAGAGCGCGAGGGUUUCCUGGGUUCGAGUCUCGUGCCUUAAUUUCUGUACAUAUAUUCCUUUUUAAGGUUUUUUUAUAUAUACACUAUUGACUACAUCUGACUAACAUGUGGGCCAAACAAGGAGGACGCAUGACACAUCAACACCAUCCAUCUGUGAUGGUCUGAAUGGCAUGUAAGGAAAGAAAGGCCGGCCAAGCCGAUCGAUCUAUGACGUCUUUGGUGACAGUCCCUCUUUGUCCGUCAUAAUGGGGUUACCGAUUGGGGGAGGGGGGGCAUCCUCGUGAUGCAGAUCCGUGACGAUUUCUAUGACGGACAAAGAGAAACUGUCAUCAUCGGUGACGGUUUUCAGGAACGUCAUCAGAAAUCUGUCAUGGAUUAACAAGUUUUUUGUAGUGUGCGUGUCGACGAAUCCCGACCAGCCCAUGGCGCCUCCAUGAACCGGUAAGACGGGGCGAAUACAACCUUGCGAUGUGGCGGUGCCUCGCCUUGGCGCCGCCGAUGGUGUAAGUAGAAGGAGGUGCGCUGAGUCGAACGAUGCGUGCCGUCGAGUCCCGGCAAAACGAGGUUGCCGGCGGACUCGACAAUGGAGAGUGCACCGGGGACCCUGCAUGGAUAGCGGCCCUGAUAUGUCGCCUUCUUGCAUAGAGGAUGUGACGGGGGUUGCGGAUGGCCGGCAACCGCGGCACGUCGUUGCUGUCCUCGUGGGAGUUGUCGCCACCGGGGCUACACAUGAACGGCAACCCCAGCAUGGCGCCGGGGGUUGCGCGCGAGCGGUAGCACCAACACGUUGCUGGAAGAGUCGUGGACAACCAUGGCGCCAUCGUCUUCUUCACCGGCAAGCGAUAAAGCAGGCGGCCGGCUCCAUCUCCGGCCGUGCAGCCGCAGCUCUGGCGGCCACCAUGGAGAUGUGCUGAUAGAGGAAGGGAGAGAGAUUAGUUCAGAGCUCAUCUUGAGAGAAGAUGAUCGGCAUGGCGUCGAUCUUCGUCAGCGGCUCCGGUGUGCCUCACCCGGCCGGCUACGUACAGGGGUCUCGGCCGCCUGCGCGAGUACUCCCGUAUGGUGGCUGCGUGCGUCGGGAGCAGUCUGGGGUUCCUCCUCCUCUGCAGAUGAGUGCGUGGUGGAUGGAGAUGAGAGAUGGCUGGCGGAUGGAUGUAUGCGUGGGUUGGUGGAUGUGUGUGCCGUGGAUGGCCGGCUUCUCUUGGCGGCUCCCGUGGGUGCUCCCUGCCUGCGUGCUUCGUGCCUCCGUCCCUCCAUGUGAGCCUCCCUCUCCACUAUUUAUAGGAGGAGGUCGAUCUCCUGGCGGCUGCGUGACGAGCCAAAUCUUCCGAUCUUUCUGCUGCUGGAUUGAUUCAAAUCCUUUGCCGAUGCUUAUCCUUCGGCUGCUCAUCUUGACGUACACGUCUGCACAGAAAAGUGUUAGACUAUGUAUAGCUUCUGUAUUUAUGUACGUAUUGUAACACAACCAUUAUAUAUAAUGAGAUAAGCCACCCCUAGAGGGUUGUGCUGGUUCCCCAAAACUUAUUGUCUUACAUGGUAUCACGCUAGGUUACGAUCGCUUCCGCUUCUAAACCCUAAUACCCGCACCGCCGCCGCAACCGCCGCCGCCUUCACCGCAGCCGCCGCGCCACCCAUCGCGCCGCCGCCAUGUCGAGCGCCGACACCACCGGUUCCACUGCUGCGGGCUUCCUCCCGGCCUCUCUUGCGGCUCUGCUCAACCUCCCGCUCGAUGCCGUCUCCGUUCCGGCUCCGAUCGGGACAAGGAGCAUCGGCUCCGUCUUCUCCACGCCGCCGGCGCCCUCGCUUGGGCGUGACCUCGUAGUCCACACCGCGGCGCCGCCGUCCGCUGCGGACUCCGCAGGCGUCGUCCCGCCGCUCCUGCCGCAAGCGGAUCACACCGCCCCGCUGGCGGGGUUGGCGGCGUCCGNNNNNNNNNNNNNNNNNNNNNNNNNNNNNNNNNNNNNNNNNNNNNNNNNNNNNNNNNNNNNNNNNNNNNNNNNNNNNNNNNNNNNNNNNNNNNNNNNNNNNNNNNNNNNNNNNNNNNNNNNNNNNNNNNNNNNNNNNNNNNNNNNNNNNNNNNNNNNNNNNNNNNNNNNNNNNNNNNNNNNNNNNNNNNNNNNNNNNNNNNNNNNNNNNNNNNNNNNNNNNNNNNNNNNNNNNNNNNNNNNNNNNNNNNNNNNNNNNNNNNNNNNNNNNNNNNNNNNNNNNNNNNNNNNNNNNNNNNNNNNNNNNNNNNNNNNNNNNNNNNNNNNNNNNGCCGGCGCCCUCGCUUGGGCGUGACCUCGUAGUCCACACCGCGGCGCCGCCGUCCGCUGCGGACUCCGCAGGCGUCGUCCCGCCGCUCCUGCCGCAAGCGGAUCACACCGCCCCGCUGGCGGGGAUGGCGGCGUCCGCCCCGGCCGCCAGCCUUGCGGCGUCCGAACCGGCCGCGAGCUUUGCGGCGCCCGCCCUGGCUGCGGUCCCGCCUCCUCCCGCAUCAGCUUCGGUGCCUCUGGCUGCCUCCAUGGUGUUUGCACCCCAGGCAGCCUCCUCGAUGGGAUCGUCUUCGCCGCCGCCGUUUCACUUCGGUCAUCUCAUCACCAUCAAGCUCUCCGCUGACAACUACAUCUUCUGGCGUGCGCAGGUUCUCCCGCUCUUGGGGAGUCACUACCUGCUAGGCUACGUCGACGGAUCGCUUCCCUGCCCACCCGCGUUGGUAGACAGCGUGCACGGUCCGGUCUACAAUCCGGCCCAUCGCGUCUGGACGGGGCAGGACCAGGCGAACCUCUCCUCCAUCCAGGGGUCGCUCUCACCGGCAGUUACCGGCCUUGUUGUCUUCGCGAAGACGUCUCAUGAGGCCUGGACCAUCCUUGAGCGCACCUUUGCAGCGCAGUCCCAGGCUCGUGUCUCUGCACUCCGUCGUCAGCUUGGAGAGUGUCAGAAGCUUGACUCCACUGCCACUGAGUUCUACAACAAGGUCAAGGGCCUCGCCGACACAUUGGCCUCCAUUGGACAGCCCCUCACCGACUCCGAGUUCAACUCGUUUAUUGUCAAUGGUCUUGAUGAGGAGUAUGAUGCCUUAGUCGAGAUCAUCAACGAGCGGGGCAACUCGACACCCAUGCUGGCACACGAGGUUUUCUCUCGGCUCCUUCUCACUGAGCAACGGGUCGAGACUCGCCGCACCAGGGGCACUGGCUCCCUCUCGGCCAACGCCGCCACCAAGGGUGACCGCUCUUCUUCAUCACCCCGGUCUCCCUUGGGGCUGCCACCGUCGCCCGCCUCGGCCCCCCCACCUACUGCGACCUUACCGGGGGCUGGCGGUCCACGUGUGUGUCAGCUUUGUGGCCGCGAUGGGCACUGGGCCUCCAAGUGUCAUAAGCGCUUCCAGCGAAGCUUUCUUGGUCUUGGCAAUGACGGCAAAGAUACACGCAACAAUGCCCGUCAGGUCGCCAUGGCUGAUCGUCCCGCGCCGCAGAAGCAACAGGGACACACUCAGUCCUACUCCAUCGAUCCACACUGGUACAUGGACUCUGGGGCGACAGAGCAUCUGACCAGCGAGAUGGGGAAGCUUCACACUCGUGAACCCUAUCAUGGCUCCGACAAGAUCCACACCGCCAAUGGAGCAGGUAUGCACAUCUCUCAUAUUGGUCAAGCAUCUCUUCUCACUAGACAUGCCAAUAGAAAUCUUCAGCUUCGCAAUGUUCUUCGAGUUCCAUCUGUGACCCGUAAUCUUCUUUCAGUUCCUAAACUCACACGUGAUAAUAAUGUGCUUUGUGAAUUUCACCCUUUUGAUCUUUUUAUUAAGGAUCGGGGCACGAGGGACAUUCUUCUUAGUGGGCGGUUGUGCCAGGGCCUCUACCGUCUGGAGCAUCCUGGCGUCGCUCGCGUUUUCAGUGGAGUUCGGGUCUCUCCGUCACAGUGGCAUGCUCGUCUUGGUCACCCGGCCACACCUAUUGUCCGUCAUAUUUUGCGUCGUCAUGAGCUUCCUAGUUUGUCUAGUAAUAAAGAUGUAGCAGUGUGUGAUGCUUGUCAGCAGGGGAAGAGUCAUCAACUUCCUUUUUCGGAGUCCAGUCGUGAGGUGAAACAUCCUUUAGAACUUGUGUUUUCAGAUGUAUGGGGUCCUACUCAGACUUCUGUUAGUGGUCAUAAUUACUAUAUCAGUUUCGUUGAUGCUUAUAGUCGCUUUACCUGGCUUUACCUUAUUAAACGCAAAUCUGAUGUGUUUGAUAUUUUUGUUCAGUUUCAAAAACAUGUUGAACGUCUUCUCAAGCACAAAAUUGUUCAUGUCCAGUCGGAUUGGGGGGGGGGCGAGUAUCGCAACCUCAACUCUUUCUUUCAGUCGCUUGGGAUAGCUCAUCGUUUAGCAUGUCCACAUACACAUCAACAGAAUGGUUCAGUCGAACGUAAGCAUCGUCAUAUUGUUGAAGCUGGUCUUACUCUUUUGGCCCAUGCAUCUGUUCCGUUUCGGUUUUGGAGUGAUGCUUUCACCACUGCAUGCUUUCUCAUCAACCGUACUCCUACUCGUGUUUUAAACAUGAAGACUCCCAUUGAGGUUCUCCUUAAUGAACAACCUGAUUAUACCUUUCUCAAGGUAUUUGGGUGUGCUUGCUGGCCGCAUCUUCGUCCAUAUAACAAGCGCAAGCUUGAGUUUCGUUCUAAGAAGUGUGUUUUUCUUGGCUAUAGCUCUCUUCAUAAAGGUUACAAAUGUCUUCAUGUUCCCACUAAUCGUGUCUAUAUAUCUCGGGACGUCGUGUUUGAUGAGCAUGUUUUUCCCUUUGCCAACCUUCCUGUGUCUACUGUCGAACCACCAUCCCUGCAUUCAUCCUCUGUUGCUUCUGACCAAUUUGAUGAUGUUGCAUACUCUCCUUUGCUGUUACCUAACCAUGGUGCAGGAACCGGACGUGGAGCUCGUUUGGAGCUGUUGGAGGAUUCACCAUCAUCAUCGUCGUCUUCUGGUGGGCACGUCGAUCGCCCUAUGUUGCAUGGCGUCGAUUCGCGUGCUCAUGCAUGGUCACCCGACGAGCCCGUCGCGCCGAGCAUCUCCACUGCUCGGUCCGCUACGCCAGCGAUCGCCGAGUUUCCAGCGUCUCGGCCUUUUUCGCCAGCGGCCGCCGAGUCGCCCGCGGCUCGACCCGUCACGCCGUCUUCGCCUGCGGCUCGGCCCGUCACGUCGUCUUCGCCCGCGGCUCGGGUCCUCAUGUCGCCUUCCUCCGCGGAUCGGCCCGCGACACCGGCCGCGCCACGGCCCACUAUGCCGAGCUCGCCAACGGCCCGGUCUGUGAUGCCGGAGUCGCCAGCUGCUUCGUCUGCUCUGCCGGUUUCGCCGGUGGGCCGGCCUUCUUCGUCGACCGAGUCCGAGGCUACCGUGACUGGCUCCUCGUCACCGGCUGACUCGUCAACGUCGCCGUCCUCCAGCCCGUUGCAGGCUGCUCCGUCGACCUCGGUGGUUCCUGUAUCCCGACCACAUACACGCAGUCGCAGUGGCAUUUUCAAACCUAAGGAACGUAAGGAUGGUACGGUUGCUUGGUUGGCUGCUUGUUUGGUUGCUGCUGUUGCGGAUCCAUCUUCUGAGCCUCGCUCAUAUCAGGCUGCCCUGCGCAUUCCACAUUGGCGAGAGGCUAUGGAGCAGGAGUUUCAUGCUCUUCUUCGUAACAAGACAUGGACUCUCGUUCCUCCACCACCACGGGUAAAUGUUAUUGACUCAAAAUGGGUAUUCAAAGUGAAGAAGCAUUCGGAUGGAUCUAUUGAGCGUUACAAAGCGUGACUUGUUGCUCGCGGUUUUCGGCAGCGUCAUGGUCUUGACUAUGAGGACACCUUCAGUCCUGUCGUCAAGCCUACCACUAUUCGGCUUCUUCUCUCCAUUGUUGUUUCUCGUGGUUGGUCACUUCGUCAACUUGAUGUGCAGAAUGCUUUUCUACAUGGAUUUUUGGAGGAAGAGGUUUAUAUGAAACAGCCGCCUGGUUUCUCUGAUCCUGAUCGUCCUGACUAUAUCUGUCGUCUUUCCAAAGCACUAUAUGGUUUGAAGCAAGCUCCUCGUGCCUGGCAUGCCCGCCUUGCCUCUGCCCUUUGUGCUCAUGGGUUUGUGCCGUCCACUGCUGACACUUCAUUAUUUCUUCUACAGAAGCCAGAAGUCACUAUGUACCUUUUGGUAUAUGUCGAUGAUAUUAUCCUUGUCAGCUCUUCUCAGUAUGCUGCUAAUGCUCUUGUCUGCUCUCUUGGUGCUGAUUUUGCGGUCAAAGAUCUUGGGAAGCUUCACUAUUUUCUUGGAGUUGAGGUCACUUCUCGUGCUACUGAUCUUGUCCUUACGCAGAAGAAGUACUCCUUGGAGUUGUUACAAAGAGCUGGCAUGCUGAAGUGCAAACCGACCACCACACCCAUGUCGUCUACCGACAAGAUAACAGCUGUUAAUGGUGAGCUUUUGUCUCCUGCGGAUGCCACAGAGUACAGGAGCAUUGUUGGUGGACUUCAGUACUUGACGAUCACGAGACCAGAUAUCUCUUAUGCUGUUAACAGGGUUUGUCAGUAUCUUCAGGCUCCCAGAGAUACUCAUUGGGCUGCUGUUAAACGCAUUCUUCGUUAUGUUCAGUUCACCCUGACAUUUGGUAUGCAUAUUCGGCCGACUUCCUCUCGGGUCCUUUCGGCCUUCUCUGAUGCAGAUUGGGCUGGUAGCCCAGAUGACAGGCGAUCCACGAGGGGUUAUGCAGUAUUCUUUGGCUCUAAUUUGAUCGCCUGGAGUGCUCGGAAACAGGCUACUGUGUCACGUAGUAGUACUGAAGCUGAGUACAAGGCUGUGGCUAAUGCUACUGCAGAGAUUAUUUGGGUGCAGUCUUUGCUUCAGGAGUUGGGUUUGUCUCAACCACAACCUCCUAUUCUUUGGUGUGAUAACAUCGGUGCUACAUACCUUUCUGCAAAUCCAGUAUUUCAUGCCCGAACGAAACACAUUGAAGUUGACUAUCACUUUGUACGGGAACGUGUAUCACAGAAGCAACUCCAGAUCAAGUUUAUCUCAUCUAAGGAUCAACUUGCAGACAUCUUCACUAAGCCUUUACCGCUGCCACAGUUUGAGGCUUGUAGGCGCAAUCUUACCCUUCUCAGUUCUUUAGAAAGUGGCUAAGAUUGAGGGAGGGUGUUAGACUAUGUAUAGCUUAUGUACUUAUGUACGUAUUGUAACACAACCAUUAUAUAUAAUGAGAUAAGCCACCCCUAGAGGGUUGUGCUGGUUCCCCAAAACUUAUUGUCUUACAAAAAGAAAACAUACGUAAUACGUACCUAGUUGUUCAUCGCAGGUGGACCAGUUCCUUUUCGAACGUGCUGAGUCUCCAGGCACCUGAGCUUGGCUAGGUACAUGGGUAUUCAGACACGUAUAGACGCGUGGCCGGCCGGUACAUACAUAUUAGGGUACGUGCUCGCCCAUCCGACCGGUGCAAGUAUUUGGAUACAUGAAGGCGUUUUCCCCUGCCCUAGCCGCCGCCACAACCAGGCGACUAGGGAGGCGAAUCUUCUUCCACCGAUCUCCACCUGCCAGGACGUUGGUCCCCUUUCCCUCCGGCUGCUGCUUCGGCAGCAGGAGGGAGGGGGGACCCCGUUCCUUUGCUCUGUAGUUAGGGUUUGGUUUUGUAGGUCGUGGCGCGUCGUUGGGGUGGUGAAAGCGACGCCCGGGCGAAUAAAUCUGUCUCAACUCCACUCCCACACUGGCGGUGCUCAUCAUGGCGGUGUCUCGGAGUUGAAGGCAUCGUGUGUUUGCCGAUCCUUCAGAUCGGCGGUGUUAGGGUUCAUGAAUGGUGUCGGUGAGGCGGCGGCGGCGACUCCAUCAUGUGUGUCUCUCCUUCUGCUAUGUCCCCGUUGCUGCGGCGUUGUCUCCGACGUCAUGGUGGAGCAGGGAGGUUUUGUUGUCCAGGAGUACGCGCAGACGGUUGUCUACGCAAGUGACAGCUGGAAGAUGGUGCAUCUUGUGCUGAGUCUGUGGUUGAAGGCUGACAGUUCUGAUUUCCUCCUCCGACGUCAUAGUCGUGUGAGGGUGUCAGUUCUGGAGUUCGAUGGCGUGUCCAGGGACAUGUUGCCCUGGUCUGAUUCUUUCAACAGCAAUGGUUUUGCUUCAAGCAAGCUACUUUGGAGGUCUGUAAAGCUGCUGAUCAGCGAUGGAGCCGCGUCGACACUAGUAGAAAACGGAGCUUUAAAACCGGUUUGUAAGGGCCUUUAGUGCCGGUUAUGAAACCAGCACUAAAGUGUGGGCACUAAAGGCCCCCCCCUUUAGUACCGGUUCGGCACGAACCGGCGCUAAAGUGCCACCACGUGGCGUGAGCUCGCACCCUAGUAUGGGGGACCUUUAGUACCGGUUGGUGUUACCAACUGGUACUAAAGUUUUUUUUGAAUUUUUUUUUGAAAAUUUUGGAUUUUUUUUUGAUUUUUUUUAUCUUUAAUUUUUCUGAAUUAUUUGAUGAUUUAGUCUCUAAUCACCUCUCUUAACUGCUCAAGUGUGGAUCACUCAUUCCAAAUCAUCUAACUUCCUGACCGGUCACCCAUCCCUCUCACUACUCCAGCCCAAGCACGCUUAACUUUCGGGUUCUAUUCUCCUUCGUUUCCGAGUCUGCACUUGUUGUUUUCCUGACAAUAGUAAGAUGUCAAUCCUAUUAACCCUUAGGAGUUUAGCUUGAGCAUGAAGUCACACAUUUCACCGUUUGAGUUUGAAACUAUUAUUCUAAAAAAACAGUAAUUAUUUAGUAACGCUAAUAUUUCUUGAAUAAGUUUGACCGUAGUUUGACCAUAGUUUGACCAAAAUUCAAAAAAUUGAAAUAAUUAUUUAGUAACACUAAUAUUCUUGAAUAAUUAUGUAGUAACAUUAAUACUUCUUGAAUAAGUAGUUUGACCAAAUUUAACCAAUUUUUUUUAAAAAAAACUGAAAUUUGACCAUAUCUUUUUUUCCUUUUCGAAUUUGAGGAUUCUAAAAAAUUCCAAACAGGCCGUAGGCGGUCUCCAUCGGAUGCGGAUUUUCGUGCUGAAUUUUUUGAUAUAUUAUACGUUUUUUUUCCGACAUCGUAUGCAAAAGUUAUAGCCGUUUUACAUUUUUCCCUACACUUUUUGCAAAACAUGUCCAAAUUUAAGUUUUCAAAUUUUCCUAACUAGUAGAUAUAGUAAUAUAACUACCUCUCGAAGGAUUUCAUUUUUUGAAGUUUUUAUCAUUUUCUUUUGAUUUUUUUCAAAANNNNNNNNNNNNNNNNNNNNNNNNNNNNNNNNNNNNNNNNNNNNNNNNNNNNNNNNNNNNNNNNNNNNNNNNNNNNNNNNNNNNNNNNNNNNNNNNNNNNNNNNNNNNNNNNNNNNNNNNNNNNNNNNNNNNNNNNNNNNNNNNNNNNNNNNNNNNNNNNNNNNNNNNNNNNNNNNNNNNNNNNNNNNNNNNNNNNNNNNNNNNNNNNNNNNNNNNNNNNNNNNNNNNNNNNNNNNNNNNNNNGAACCGGUACUAUAGGUUAGACCUUUAGUACCGGUUGGUAACACAAACCGGUACUAAAGGGGCUCGUGGGGACCCGGCCUGACGCCAGCCUGCCACUACCCCUUUAGUACCGGUUCGUGGCACGAACCGGUACUAAAGGCUCAACACGAACCGGUACUAUUGAUCGCAGCCACGAACCGGCACUAUUGAUCACAUUAGUGCCGGUUUUUUUACAAACCGGCACUAAUGUGCUUCACAUUUGACCCUUUUUCUACUAGUGCGAGCUCGGGUGAAGAGGUGAUCUGUCUCCUUUUUCUUAGUGGAGAGGGGCAGACGUUGGUUUUUUGCAUAGGAUUAUCCUAUCUUUACGGUCCUGUAAUGUCGAUGUUUACGUGGCUUGUAACUGAAUCUUUAUUUUAUUAAUGAGACACGUAUUAUCAUGCAAAAAAAUAUUUGGAUACAUGCAUACCACGGUACACACACAUGGCCACGAUCAUGCAUGUCAUCAUUCGAUGCCAUGGAUGGGUACGUGAAGGAGCACCUACAUGCAUGAAUCAAUGUCUAGCUAAUGCACUAGUACACAUCUGUAUCUUUGGCAUUGCCCUUUUUUUCUUUAAUUAUUUUAGAAUGCCAACAAAUAUUUUUUGACAUAGCUCGUACAAAACCGCUUCAAACAAAUGCCCCCUCACCAAGUCGUGUUCGAAUGCGAAGCAAAUCGGACGCGUCACUUGGUGAAGGAAUUUUCUGUGGGCCAACAAGCGCAAUUUAUUUUUGCUGCCUUCAAAUGUUUUUUUAUAGCACUUGUGAGUCGCAUGUGCUUGUGAGAGAAAACACCUCUGUGGCUAUUAGCGAGUAAAUUCGCCAACGCCACAAGUAGAAAAGGAAAAAAAAUGGAGGUGCUUUACUGUAGCACGAUUGUUGCCGUGCUGCCUGGCAAUAAAGUAACCUCGAAUCCUCCUCAACUUGCGGCGAAAUACCAUGCCAGGCAAUGAAUGUUUUAUUAGUCAAGUCGCGACCGGUUAGCUGCAUGGUGCUAGCCGACAGGAUUGACGGGUUUCACAGCUUCGUACUGGCCGCACUGGCCAACGCUGAAGCCAAGAGUGGUUGAGGUACCUUGUUGGGUCGUAUUGCUGCCACGACGCCUGUCAACAAAACUUCCUACAUCAUCUUCAGCCCGCAGCGAAACACCAUGCCACAUGCUGAAGAUUUUAUCAGACAAGUCGGGACCGUUUAGCUGCACGGUGCCAGCCGACGAGACUGAAGGGUUUCACAGCUUCGCGCUGGCCGCACUAGCGCGCUACACUGUUCCCACAAUUAAGCUUGGUGUGGCCAUGCGGACGGGACAUCGGAACGCCAUCGAUGUCUCGCCCUAUCGCCGAGUGUGACGUGUCGGUGACAAGGCCGACUUGGUGUGGCGACGACAGUGUUGUGCACACCCCCUGUUGUCGCCUAAGAUGUUUGAGGGCAUAGCGUUGCCCCCGAUGAUGUUGUUGUAGAGUUGCCGUAAGACCGACGACUGAGGGGCAAGGCUAUCUUCAGUGUCGGCAGCCCGGCUCGAGGCUGGGUGUUGCCGUUGUUGGCGAUGCCUACGGCUUCCGGUGAAGACGGCGUUGUGCGGGGACGGCACCCGUCGACGCCAAGUAUCGAGGCCCUAGCGUUGCCCCCGGUGUUGUCGUUGUUGGUGAAGCGACGAAGUGCUAACACUGAGGGGCGCCGCCGCCCUCGAUGUUAGUGACGUAGGUUGUAGCGUGGUUGCCAACAUCUUGGCGACAUGGCUUGGCGCCAGGUGAGGAGGCUGUUCAGCAAUGAGGACCUCGGCCCCCAGCCCUCCCGCCAUGGGCGUUGUAGAGGUUGUCGGUGAAGCGGACGUUUGAAGGGCGGUGAUGCCGCUCGGCGCUCGUGGUGGUGUCGAGCCAAAGGUGCGUCGCUAGCACACAUACAUGUGGGCAGCGUGUCUCAUCCGCAUAGAAACUUAGUUGCUCCUGCACAACGUUAGAGGAACCAAACGACUGGAAAUACCAAAUGAAAACCACUGCCGAAGAGGAUGAGAGAGAGAGAGAGAAAAAAAGGUGUUUUUUUGUUUAAGAUGUUGGCUUUUCCGCUGGACACUAGCUAUGAGUGUGACGCCGAAAAAGGCUGCCGAAGGACUUAGUCAUCGGGAAUCGUCGAAAAGCCAUGACGAUCGCAAUUCAAUAACUUGUUGCCUUAUGUGUCUCUUUAUGUGUGAGUAUGUGCGUAUCACAUUGACGUGAUUGGAAUGCUCCUGAGAUGCAGCAGGGAAUCGUACCCUAGCCCAUCAUGGCAAGGAAUAAACCCACGGCUCCAUCAUGCUCCCUUUCGGGCCUCAAGAACCCAGAGACUCUGGGUGAGGUGAAUUUAGGGUAUGUGGUUUUUGGACAACGGCUGGAAAACAUAUGUUCAUGCCUUUGUUGAGGGGUGGUGGAUGACUACCUCCCGCCUUCUUUCGAGUGGUUCCCUUACUGCUUGCACGCCGGGGCUUCUGAAAUUUUGUGGGGAUUUUUAUCUCGCGCUUUUCUUCAUGGACGGCCUUGGUGGCCACGAACUCCCAAGGAUCGUCUCCCCUUGGAGAGAAUAGCUUCAUGGGCGGCCUUGGUGACCGCGAACUUUCGAGGAUCGUCUCCCCUUGGAGAGAAUAGCUUCAUUGGUGGCCUUGGUGGCCGCGGACUUCUAGGGAUCGUCUCCCCUUGGAAUGAUUGCUUCAUUGACGGCCUUGGUGGCUGUGGGCUUCAGAAAAUUGUAUCCUCUUUCGAGGCGGGUUUGCACGCGCUUGGAGGUUUGCUUUUAUGUUUCUUCGGGGACCACCUUGAGAACUUGGAAGGCAGUCAUCCACCAAUGUGGACUAAAACCCUCACGCAUUUUAUGUGGAGUUUUGCUGGCACGCCCCAGGGUCGUCAAGCGGCUACGCACCUAACCCAACUUGUGUUGGAUCGGGCAGCCCUUUCCUGAUCUUUUGCCUAGAGUCUUCCCUGGAGCGUGUGGAGUCUCUGGGAACCUGAGACACGUCCGGGAGCCUGGGGGUCUGGGGCUUCAUUGUUUAGAAGCAACCCAAGUAGUAUUCUCCGCUGCCUCCGGGAGCAUAUGGUGGGUGCGUGUCGUGUUUUGUGGGUAUAAGAGCCGCUACACUAGACAAGUCCCAAGGCAGCCAAAUCGUCCGUCCCAGCUGAGUGUGGUUCGGGAAAAGCCAAUUUUUGUAGGAUUUUGCAAUCCAUAAGAAGGGGAAACAAAAGAAACACGAACAAGUCCGCUUCAUGCAAUUGUGAGUGCAAUGCGGACUCUGAUAAGCCCCCGAAAACUCCCCUCUUGGAAGGCAAAAGAAGAAGAAAACAAGCCAAAGAGAGAAAGAAAAAAAAGAAAAGGAAUCCUUUUUAUGCAAAGUACUUUUUCAAGAACCUAUCGUUGAUCGGUGGCAUCGGCCGGGCUCCUUGCGGAUCAAUCACUUGGGCACCUCUGAGGACGUGCGUCAUGGCGCACUGGUAGGUGGCACCAGCGUUCAUCAACCCGAAAGGCAUCAUGGUGUGGUAGAAGUUGCCUUUCGAGGUUCUGAACGCGGUGUCGAUGGCGUCAAGUGUUGGCUCGAUGUAGUUGGGGACAACAUUGCUACUCUCAAUGUCCGACGAUUGAGAGGUGACAGGUUCCUGGAUUUCUCCAGUCUCCUUCGCCGGCGCCUGCCCCAGCGCUGGGACUGGAAUGGCACCCAAGUGGGGAGUAUCAUCCCCUGUCGAGGGAAUGACUCAUCCCCCUCUAACCUGGGGACGGACCUUGAUAGAAGGCGGCGUUGGCUUGGAUCAGCCCACCAUUGAGUUGGCGGCGGUACUUCCGUCAAAGGUGCUCUGCGAGGAGCUCGCGGAGGCAAGCCCGACGCAUGCGGAAGGUGACGAAUCUUAGUCAAAGGCUGCUCCUUGUGAGUGACAAGGGCAACCUCCUGAGGAAUGAGAGGUGUUGUCGUGGUGGCGAGGACAAGGUCGGAUAGCCGAUGCUCCACCUGAGCGAUCGGAACCCGUGAUGGCUCGCCUGCUUGGCCUUGUCCCCAUGAGGUCCACGACUCCACGCUCACCAUGUUCACGGAGUGGUAGUCUGGAUUGACGGCCUCUGGGUCUAGGGUGACCCUUUUCUCAUUGACGGCUCGUUGGAGCCAUUCCUUGAAGGCGAUGCAAUCCUCGAUUGCGUGGCCUACGUACCUGUGGUAUGGGCAAUACAAAGGAUUGUCAUCCAUGUUUACCUGGUCAGGUCUUUGAGGUUCGGGCAGAUUCAGAGCCCGAUGCUCCAUCAGUUGGUCGAACAUGUCUUUCACCAACUCGCGGCGAAAGAUGUACGACUUCUUGAGAAGAUCAUGCAUGGAUGCACGUCGCCUCCCCCCAGCUUGCUCGGUCCAUACACCCAAGGUGGGCACGGUACUUCGUGGUGCUGAGGUAAGCAUCCUGGUGGCGUUCGCCUCCGCCGCCACAUUUGUCCUGCCCCCAUUGUUAGGGAGCUUAGACGUUGAGGCAAAGCGCUUGGCAGGGUCAAAGGCGCUCGCAUUCUUGUAGAGCUCCAUGAUCUGUGGAGACUUGUCGAACUCCAGCUUGGUGGCUGCAACAGCUGAGCUGAGAGCGCUAAAGUUUCUUGGCUCACGCCGAGACACCUCUAGCGACCAGUCCUGCUGCAUGCCAUGGACACACAUCUCAAUGGCAUCCUCGAGAUGCAUCUCCCUAGCGAGACGCACAUAGCUGUUGCGGAAGCGGAUGAUGUAGUCAUCGAUGGACUCCUCUCGCCGCUGCCGAACUUGUGCUAGUUCGACAACAGAGAAAUCCUUCUUCAUGGCGACGAAGUGUCUCUUGAAGACUUCCUUCAUGCUCGCCCAGCUGGUGAUGGAUCCCACCGGUAAGCGACUAUACCAGUGGAAGGCAGGGCCAGUCAAUGACCCUGAGAAUUGUCAAAGAAGAAGUGAAGAGCUAUUAGCGGUGUCGCCGCAAGCCGCCUCGAAAUACGCUAGAUGCUCCCGUGCAUCACCAGUCCCGUCAAACUGACGGAACUUCGGCGGAUGCCAACCAGCAGGGAACGACACUAGGUCGUGCCAUGCUUCAUAGGGCUUCUCGAGCUCGCUUUCUAAGGUGCGGGGCGCUUGCUCGAUGGACAUCUGCUUGAGCUUCUUGGUCACCAUGUCUUCGACGAUGUCGUGGUAGUUCUUUAACAUGCUCGGGUCUGAUGCCCCAUCGGCCACACCGGUGGGCUUGACCAAUGGUCGCCCCCGCAAGCCUUGGUCUUGCUAUUGACGCCCAUCAUUGGGUGGCGCACUUGCUAGCUCCAUGGCUUGAAGCUCCUCCUCUUGCGGGUCCACCACUCGCCUUGGUGUCCCCGGCGCCUCGAGGUUAUUGUUCAUCAUGAGAUCGAUAAACCGAUCAACUUUCGCGGUUAGUUGAUCGAUUGUACGGCCUUGCUCGCGCACCUGAUCAACAAGGUUUACUUCGAGCGGUUCGCCAUUUCCUGCAAGACGGGAUGGGUUAGCGUUGGAGGCUCUCAAUGCCUCCGUUGCUGCUGCUUCCGCGGCCUCCUGGUCGGCGUCACCAUCAGUGGCCACAUGUACGGGCGCCGUGUGGAGAUCUUCAAAGCCGCCUUCAUAGUCUGAUACAACAGACUGAGCAAGCUCAUGGUAGGGCGGCACGCUCGAGUGCAUUUGACAGAGAAGCUGCCCGAAGCUUCGAUAUCCUAGCUAAUAGUGUCCUUGAGGGAGUCGGUAGUUACAGGUUGUAAAAUAUUCCUAAGAGCUUACCAAGCAAUUGUUUCAUUCGUCGUGAGCGAUCGAAAAAACCCACGUUGGCACAAACACCUCGCUAACCAGAAUGUGGGGAUCCGCCCUGAUGACAAACGUAGAGGGAAUGGAUCGUACAGAGGUUUGUCUGGAGUCCAUUUGGCCAACGAGAAUUUGGUGUUAAGACUGUUCCCCUUUGGUGUUACAAGCAAAGAAAUAAGAGUUGGGGAAGUUUUUUGCUUCAAGUAACCGCACCCAAAGGCCAUCGUGGUCCUGUGAGAGAUUCCAAAUCCAUUUGGCAAUAAGGGCGAGGUUCAUCUUUCUAGAAUUCAGAAUGCCGAGGCCUCCUUGGUUUUUAGGUCUGGCCAUAUGAUAUUUGUGUUUUUUGGCAUCGGCUUCCUAGAAAAAUCUAGCCUGCACUUUCUCAAAUUCAGAAUGUACCCCAUCCCCAAGGAUAAACAAGCCCAUCGCAAAGGUUGGAAUCGCAGAACACGCGUUUAGUCAGCGUAAGACGAGGAACUGAAGACAUGAGCUUCACUUUCCACAGAUCACAAGUAGUACGCUCGUACCUUCACAAGAGAGGAGCACCUUCAGAAACAGAAACUUGGACUGAAACCUACUCCCUCUGUUCCAAAAUAGAUGACCCAACUUUGUAUUAACUUUAAUACAAAGUUGGGUCAUCUAUUUUGGAACGGAGGGAGUAUGAAAUAGUCCGAUCUGCUUCUUCUACGCUGCUAUUGCACCUGAAAUUAUAGCAGAAAUGGAGAUAAUACUACAAGAGUAUGCGGUUCCUCCUCUCUAAGUAAGGCAUGAACAAUCCUUUGCCUGCUGUCUUCAUAUUGUCUACAUGACCCUUUGCUUCACGCUGAUUUCUUGCCUCUUUACCGAAUCAUGAAGCACAGGCAAUAUGCUGAUUUGUUUUGCUUUUCCUAAAGAUGAUUUUCCACCUUGCAGGUUUUCAUGGGAGUUAGCGGCUUAGCACACAGCAAGAUAUUGACAUUAGGAUUUGCAUCUUUUGACAGAAUCUGGGAGUCUGACGAUGUAUACGGUGAUUUUUCUUCCUUGCCGCAUACGGCUCCGACGCGUACAGCCACAAGGCACAUCGGCCGCUUUGCGUUAAGAGCGCAUAUCGCGAAGCAUCUCUUCUCUUAUACUACUUAAAAAAAACGUAGUGUUCCCUCUUCUCUCUUACGUCGCCCACCUUUCGUCCAUCAUUUUCCUACGACCCCCCUCUCCACCGAUUUUCUUGUCUCCCUCCAUCGAUUUUUUUUACUGGUUCUCUAUUUACCGGUUUUAUCCUCAUCUGACCGGGACAGACCAACUUUAUGUUUCACAUAUGGUAACAAAUCUCAUUUUUGGUAAUACAAACAAAAUCAAUUCACGUAUUGUAAUCAAUAUCAUCUUUGGUAACACAAGAGUAGUUUUGGACAGUAAUCAAUCUCCUUUACUUAUGUGAAAAAGUUGAUAAGAAUUUAUGUCAAUCAAUCUCGGCGGCGGACAAAAUUGAUAUUCAAUCAAUCCCGGGUGGUGGGGAUUGGAUCGUGGACAAAAUAGGAAAGGAUUUUUGUCAAUCAAUCUCAGCGAUGAACGAGAGUACGCGGCCGCCCAGCUCCAACGCAGCGCUAAUCUGUAGUGAUCCAUGCCGCUUGACAUCUUGCCGCGCGACUGCAGCUCGGAGGGCGACCGGAAAAUAGGGUCCUGGGUUUUCCUGGCCAUCCAUGCGCCGCUCACGUUACGUCGUCUCUGCUUCCCAACGGCGAUCUCCAUGGAGGACAUCUAUGCUUAGGAGGAGGACACCGUUGCGGCCUUCCAUGAGCGGCUGGCUAGGCAUCCUCCCCGACAAGUUAAGGUCGUGUUAGGAAACUACUUCCUGUUUUCCUUUUGUUUUUGCCUACUAUGGAGCGUCUGUGGAGCACGUGUUUCACUUGCUGUAGCAUAACCUGCAAUCUAACCUAUCCACUUCUUGAUUGUUGUGGUUGUAGCUUGCUCGCUUGCUCACUUGCUUGCUCGGAGUACUGCCAGAUCUAAGCUCUACAAGGCUGGACUUCUGCUCGACCAUGGCCCUUUCCCAUGUGGCAGGGACCUCCCCUGAUUGAUAGUUCAGAAUUCAAUAUAACUUUUGCAUUUAAUUAAGGUGCAAACAUGAUUUCUUACACCUGUAACUAAACCAAUAUGUCAGAUGCUUUUUUCAGGUGUAUACUUGUUAGUCUCAUCCAUGGGACACGAUAGCCAAUUCUUUUGUAAGUGCGUUGGAGCAACCAAAAUUGAAGUGAGAACAACAUGCUUUCUUGCUAUUCCAUCUUAAAAUUAUAUCUUGUUUUUAAUCAGUUUUUUGGAAUCUUAUUCAUGAAAAAUGUCUACUUUGAAAAUGCAAGUUAUGUGCUAAUCACAGAGAUAUGAUUGACUUACGAAGAACAGAUUGCCAAAGAUGUGAAUGUGAUGAGUUAUGUAGUUCUUAUACAAAAAAAUUCGGAAGAGAGUUGACUUAGUUGGUUCAUUUUCUUGUCUGUAGUAUAAUCGGUCAUGUAUUGAGUGAUUGACAUAGUAAUUUAGUAAUUAAAGGUCAAUCCAGGAACUUUUCUACAAUCAAAUAGGAUCAGGUAUUGUACUUGUAUAAAAGGUUUGGCCAAGGAAUGAUUCCUAUUGACUUCUAGGCAAAAAGAAAACAAACGUUUGACCAAGAUAUAGCAUGAAUAGUACUUCUAUUUAGCAUUUGUUGGCAAAUCACCGGAUACAAUGAAAACCAUUCCCUGAUUAAUCUUUUUAUAUAAGUGCAAUACUUGCUCAUGUUUGAUUUCAUAAGUUCUGGGAUUUCGGACUUCUUUGAAUUACUAAACCAUUUUUGAAUAUAGAGGGUGUGGCAUCCAAGUGCUCUUAUGUAUUUUCGGAUUGAUGUACCACUAUUUUAUGCUCACUGAGAAUAGUAAUGGCAAAGCUGGAUAUUUUCAUUUGACGUGGGAAAGAGUACACAAGUGAUAGUUGUGACAUGCAAACCUCUUGCAAAAAAACAGAACUCAUGUGACCUUUUACCCCUGGGCUAAAAAUAUUUUUAUUACGUAAUAGGGACCUUUAUUGUUCAGUAAAUCUUGUUUUUGUUUGAGAGCAUGAUAAAAGAGGUUGCUAUUGUACGGUCAAAGUGAUUGAUUUUUUUUUUUGCGGGAAUCAUAGUGUAUUCAUUCCACAGUAAUAGAGUUACAAUCUCCAGGGACUAGCUCACUGAUACAUGAUGGGGAUUGAUUUAACCAGCAUGUUGUGUUAUCCCCAUUCUGAUCAAAAGUCNNNNNNNNNNNNNNNNNNNNNNNNNNNNNNNNNNNNNNNNNNNNNNNNNNNNNNNNNNNNNNNNNNNNNNNNNNNNNNNNNNNNNNNNNNNNNNNNNNNNNNNNNNNNNNNNNNNNNNNNNNNNNNNNNNNNNNNNNNNNNNNNNNNNNNNNNNNNNNNNNNNNNNNNNNNNNNNNNNNNNNNNNNNNNNNNNNNNNNNNNNNNNNNNNNNNNNNNNNNNNNNNNNNNNNNNNNNNNNNNNNNNNNNNNNNNNNNNNNNNNNNNNNNNNNNNNNNNNNNNNNNNNNNNNNNNNNNNNNNNNNNNNNNNNNNNNNNNNNNNNNNNNNNNNNNNNNNNNNNNNNNNNNNNNNNNNNNNNNNNNNNNNNNNNNNNNNNNNNNNNNNNNNNNNNNNNNNNNNNNNNNNNNNNNUCUCUUAUACUGUAUACAAAUACUAUAUUUGAAGUUACUUACAUUCCCACUGGACUAAUUUCCCACGAUAAAUAGCCUUGCGAUACACAGCAAUACAUAUGUACAUUGCAAGCUUGGACUAUUGCCAUGGAUAGACACGUACAUGGCAAUUUGAGAAUAUUUCCAUGGUCACCACUAAUAACACAUAUAUAUCCUUGAUAGGUAAUUUUGGAUUGUUUCUAAAACUUGCCUAUCUUGAAAAUGAAAACCACAUGUAAUUCAUCUCUUUGAUAAGCAUGCUCGGACUAUUUCCGAAAACACUUGUCUACUCCAUCUUUGUUUAUAUAUAUGUUUGGUCACAUAUACAUUAGGCAAGGUAGCGAUUGUUGUAUGUGUAUUGACACCAUGAUAUCCCAUGACAACGAUUUAAGAAGGGUGAGGUGGCAAGGGGUGGCAAUAGUAUUGUGAGUCCAUGAUAGGUGACAACAUAUAAUUAAUUGGUUACACGUGUGUUGCACAUGCAUGCUUACAUGAUGCAUCAAGGGGGGUUGCGAGCUAGAUGGACCAUGGAUAGAGGUGGUGAGUUUGGAUUGGGGAUGCCGAAAGGUAGAUAUAGGGGUUGGAAGAAGGUCGUUUAAUGGUAAAAAAAGAAAUCAUCAAUGCCACCUGAUGUGUGUGAGAAUCCUAAAGAUAUGUGUUAUAUACUAUUGCCCGUUUCAAUGCAUGGGCAAUUAACUAUUUAAUAGUAAAAAAACUCAUCAGCGCCUGAUGUGCAUAAGAAUCCUAAAGAUAUGAGCUAUAUAUAAUUGAUGUUGAACACUAAAAUAUGUAUGCCCCGUUGCAUCGCACGGGCAAUUAACUAGUCUAAACCAAUAGACAAGCCUAUAUGUUCAAGGUCACUACAUUUCUAGCACAGCAAAUGCCCCGUCCCAGCACCUGACAAAAUCCUACGUGAAGCGCAAACUUACAUGAUGGACCAAACACGCAUACACCAGCCACUUUUAUUUUUCAUGAAAGCUAACAAUUAUAUUUCACUUUUAGACAUCAAUACAAUUUCUCUGUAGUCAGUAGAUUCAAAGAUUUACUGAAUCAUUAGCUACAGCCAAACCAAAUAAAGAAUUUCACAAAGGAAGUGCUUUGCAAAAUACCAACUGCAUCAGGUCAACUAGAGAUCAAAAGAGUAACAAGUCUGACCGAACCUUUUAGUACACUAGCAGGUUGACAAUAUGCACUAAGAUUUCGGAUAAUAAUUAAUAAAUGAUUGUUAUGGAUAAGAGGGCCUAUCACAGUACAAUUUAGCCCCAUGAAACUAAGACAUGUCCAGAACAACAGCCAGUGCUAGGCAAACAAGAACAAGGGUAAUAACAUUCUUUGAAAAUGAAAUGAUGCUUAAUAUGUAGGUUUACAGGCAUUGCUGUGAAGUCUGAACUGGAAAUCAAGCAAGCAGGAGUAUAAGCGCCAGCAAAUUGGGGGGCCAUGAUUGAAGCAGAUUCAGAGGUACACAGACAAAUUGUUCAGAUGAAAGAAGAGCCAGUUUUUGGGAGGAAACACAGGGGUGGUUUGAAGGUAAAGUUACUACCCCUCAGCAUCAGCUAAUGGCUCUGAGAACAGAGGAACAUAGGGUAGAAAUUUGUGUACACUGUUUUUCUCAAGAUUAAUGAUACAGCCAACUUUCUGAUGCCACAUGUCAUAUGAUACCAAGGUAUCACCUCCACACUGAGCCAGGAAAAUGGUGUCGCAAUCUGGAUGAAUCUCAACCACCCUGUACUUCUCUCAAGUCAUGCUGAUAAGUGUAUCGAUGCUGGCAGUAUGCUUCAGGACCCAUUGUUUACUGUCACAAUCCUUGAGGCACCAGAGUGCUAUCUCAGAAACUAGGAUUUCAUUGUUAUUAUUGAGAGGAGCUAUAGCAUAGUGUAAGCACCCCUGCGACAAUCCAAUAGUACCAAAUUUUGAACAAUACGGCACACGGAUAGUCUUCCACACUUUCCCCUCCAUGUCCACCCCCACCAGCACAUACUCGCCGUUGAUGUCCUCCAGGUUACCCAUGAUGUACAGCAUACCGCCGACAAAGACACAUUUACUCCUGAACAGGGUAGCUUUCUCAACUAUCCCACUGUCUCUAUGAAUCCAGGCUCCUGUGCGAGACGAGUAGAUGUUCACUCAUGUGAUCAACGUUUUCGGAAAGGUCCGCUCGAAACAAAGAACAUGGAAAUGGGACGAGACUGCUGGAUCGAAAGCCAGGCCUGCGGUAUGGUUAAGUCUGUUCAUUCGCUCCUGUGUUUGAGGUUGAGGUGGUAGCUCCACCCACCUCCCGGUGGCGGGAUUGCACACAACAAAAUGGUAAUCAUGCCUGCUGCUGUUGUAACGGCGGUAGAGAAGGAGGCCAUUGCAAGCGUCCACCAGGGUGAUGCCCUCAUCCUAGUUAGGAUGUAGGUAAGGGAGGGAGGGGUCGAAGGAGGCUGCGCCGCCGGAGAAACUGGCGAAGUGGUGGCGAUAUCCGUUGUUGUAGAAGGAUGUGUAGAGGAAGCCGGCAAGGGUC
rnacentral:lncRNA from 1 species